AGCGCGAAGAUCAUCCCUCCGAAGGACCAGGCGAUGCCCUGGAUGCCGACGGUGGCGCACUUGGAGUUGGACUUGGAGACGCCCAUGACGGUGAGGAUGGUGAUGUAGAGGAAGAGGAAGGUGGCGACGAACUCGGCGAUGCCCGCGCGGUAGAAGGACCAGGACUUGAGCUCCCCGGGCUCGAACAGCGGCGCCGGCGGGGGCUCCUUGUAGUCCUUGUCGUCCCCGGCGCCCUGCGCCGCCGUCCCGAUGGGCUGCCGCUCCGAGAACUUGUUGGCGCCCAGGCGCACGUCCUCCUCUUUCCCCUCCAUUUCCGCUCCUCUCUCUCCUGCCUUGCGCGCUUGGGAGCUCGGUGGUUUCUUGAAGCAGCGAGCGGUGUGUGUCUGUGACUGUGAGGUGGUGGUGUGGCUCGGCGGAUUAUAAAGGCAGAGGAGGGAGCUCGGGAGCAGGUCAGCUUGUGAGGAGAGUGAGCAAGGAAGAGAUAGACACUGUUCUUUUUCCAAUUUUUUUUUUUCUGGAAGGACGCUGAUGUGGAGGUGCUUCUGGAACGGAAGAGAAGGUGGCGAGCACGGGAGUGGGGGCCGGGGCCCACGGUCAGUUGGGCCUUGUUUAGUUCCGAAAAAAUUUCAGAUUUUGACACUGUAGUACUUUCGUUUGUUUGUGACAAAUAAUAUUCAACUAUAGACUAACUAGGAUCAAAAGAUUCGUCUUAUGAUUUACACCAAAACUGUGUAAUUAGUUUUUGUUUUCGUAUAUAUUUAAUGCUUCAUGCAAGUGCUAUAAGAUUCGAUGUGACGCGGAAUCUUGAAAAUUUUUUGGUUUUCGUGGUGAACUAAACAAGGCCUUGGUUAGAUUCCGUUUCCUCCUGCAUUAUUUCCAGAGAGGCUUAUCCAAUUUGGUAUUUUUCUUGUUUGUAGCGAAAUAAAUAUAGGGAAAUAAAUGUAACAGGACUACAGAAGGGAUGGAGUUUUGAUUCUAUUUUAACUAAUCCGAUUCGAUUUAGUGCAAUAGUGAUCCAAAGCAAUGGUACAAGAGAAUGAAGGGGAAGAUAUAUGAUUGCUUGCUUGCAAUAUCCUUUUGUUGCACUCAUCGUUUGCUAGCUAGGCUCUCCCUGAGGCAGAGCCUUUUCCUCACUUCGAAGGGAUUCCCUUGCCUGUGUGCAUGUGUCCGGGAUCCGAAGCCAAAUUAAAGGCAGCACACAGAAGAGCGCCGUGAUCCAAAGCCACGCAGACGCAGGACACCAACGGGCGCGCGGAGCCGGAGCUUACCGUUCGAGCAACGCUGUCCUCUGCCUUUUUGUUAUCAUUUUCUUGUGUCUCCAUCUGCUCACUGUUCCAGUGCCGUGCAGCAUAUGAUCUGAUCGGCUUUAAACGGUGGCACGCUGAUAAAGAAGGGCCACGGCACUACUACUACUACUACUAGAAGCAAGCAGCUCACGGAGUUACGGGCUUACGGCACAUAAAUUACUGUUCCUUUCAUUGCUUUUUAGCAUGUGCUGAUAGCGCAUGAUUGAAUUUCAUUCGUUGCGUUGGAUCAGUGAUGGAACGUGCACCUAACCUCUUUGCUUUAUCAUUCGGUAAUGGUGUGUUAUGGUCGUCCAGAAGCAUCGCCGGUGGUGCGAAAACUGCAGUGCAAUUCAACCCAAGCCGUAGUACUACUGUCUGGUCAUCAUCAGCAACUUACCGAGGAUAGAAUAGAAUCCCGGGGUAUCCGCUGGUACUUUGAAAAAGAAUUCAGGCCAGUGUUUCUGAAAUGUUAUCUUCAGUGGAGCCCAUAUCCAGAAUUCCUGAUUACCUGCACAUAUCCAUGAUCCAACCAUACGCUGCUUUUUUUUUUUUUGAUUCAGGCCAUACGCUGCAUGGUGUUUCUCCUUUCGAUUGUGAAAGUCAAAAGUCCUGAUGGACCAAAACCUGCAGACCCAUGCAGUUGGUGACGACGCCGGUGAAAGGCAAGCAGCCAAGGAGUGAAGGACCACCCAUGAAUCGUGCUGCAACCUGCACUGCAUGUCUGAAAAUCUGCUGCCAAGAGAGGUUAAAACUUGCUGCUGCCUGCAUCAGGCCGGGGCACUUGCCACUCUUCUCUUCCUCUAUAUAAAAAUAUAUAAAUUUAUGAAAAAAAUAUAAUUCAAAGGAAUUGAAAAGGCCAGGAGACGUUAUCAGUGAUUGCCUUCCAAUCAAAGGGCCUUGGUUGGAAUCGUGCAGAUUUUCCAAAGCGAUUCAGGGCCCCAUUCUACAGCUAGGGGCAGGAGGGGAAUCUUUACACCGAAGCGCGCUUGAUGAACGAUGAUGAUUGAGGCCCUUGUGAGGGCAACGAGCCACUCCUGCCCUGCAGAUGCAAACGUGGGGCACGACGACAAGGAGCCGGAAUUUCAGGCUGCGUCUCCGAAUUUUUGUAACCUGCACCACAAAAGGUCGUUUUCAGAGAACGCAAGCAUAGUUAAACAAUUUCCAUCGGAUGAAAAUUAAGAAAUCGAGCUCACAAGAUCAGAGGGAGUUGAAAAUAAUACGGAGUACUACUAGCUUAUUCAGCUGUGCCUUUUCAUCCACUAAUGGGUUUCAUUUCAUAUGGCUCACAUAGUCACAUACUCUGAUAUCGAUCGGCCUACCAUGCAUGUGUAGAUCGCAGCCUUUCAUGAAGUGAUAUGUUUUCAGAGUAGGUUUGGUUACCAUCUUUGUGGUCCCUAGUACGCUUCAGCGUUAACAAAUCCUUCCAGCUAUGGAAGCAGACCAUUAUCCGAACUCUAACACAAGCAAAGAAUGUUGUUGUCUAGUGUCUGGUGUCUAGCUGUCAAAGCCGGUAGUGACAAAACAGAAAGAAAAGAAAAGAAAAGAAAAGAAAAGAUGAGAGAUGUUCCUAGAACCAAUGAUCAAGAUACUCUCUCGGAACAUAAAUGUAUAUUACCCAUAUAAGUUUUCUUUUUUCACUUCGACAACCAAUAUCUAAAAUUCUUUAAAAGAUUAGCAACACGAGAUAGAAACUAUUAGGCUUGUUUGCAAAAAUAUUUUCAUACUAGUCCAUGACGCUAACAUUUAGUAUUUUUACAUACAAGUAUUGUGGUUGUAGGGAAUACUUACCAAUAAUCUGCACUACAAAUACAAACGUAUUCAUAAUAAAUAAUCAGUAUAUAAGCAUUCUAAGGCCUUGUUUAGUUGCGAAAGAUUUUGGAUUUCGCUACUGUAGCAUUUUCGUUUGUUUGUGGCAAAUAUUGUCCAAUUAUGGACUAACUAGGAUCAAAAGAUUCAUCUCGCGAUUUUACAGUUAAACUGUGCAAUUAGUUUUUAUUUUUGUAUAUAUUUAAUUAAUGCUUCAUGCAUGUGCCGCAAGAUUCGAUGUGACGAAAAAUUUUAAAAACUUUUUGGUUUUCUAAAGCCAAAAUUCGUCGGGCUACCUCUGCAGAUUAAAAUCACGCAGGAAUACGAGAGGGGGCAGCUUCGAGCUCUGACGGAGCACCGUUGCGCGAGCUGCAGGCUGCAGGAGACCAGGCCGUUGGAACAAGUGCAGUAGUACUGCCCCUGCCCGCCAAGUUUCCUCACGCCGCAACGACUUUCCGCCGCCGAAACGUGACGACCGUGCGGGGCUUGCCAGCGCCGGCCGCGUGACGCCCCCACCGGCCGUGGCGCGCGCGCCACACACGUACUACCACCACCGGGCCAUCGCGCUCGCGCCUGCAUGUGCCGAUCGAGACCUUUGAGGCCGCUGGCGCUGGGGCACGGGGCCCUGGGCGGCGCCACCAACUACCGCGCCGCUGUCUGCCGUCACUCGUCGGCCUGCCAUUUUCCUCCGCCGUUGCCUUUGCCUGCGUCCACCACGUCACCAUCCAAUCCACUGCCGUUUUCUUUUUUAAAUUUCGUGGUGGAAACAUGGUGCUCGGUAUUUUGGAUAUCGCCAGCGAAAGGAGUUCGAAUGAUUGGCUCGGCUGCAUGCAGCCUGCAGAUAGGAGGGAGCCACUCCCAUUAUUAAUAAUAACAAACAUUUAGUAGUACUAUAAAAAGUUAUCGGCAGGAUUAGUUUAGUUUAGUGGUCGAGCGCAGCCACUGCUUGGCUCACGUACUUGGGGCGGUGCUGGUUGUUCGGUCAUGCAAAUGACUGGCUCUGCUUCAUUCCCUGCUUUCCAUCCGUAGCUACCGACUCAUCAGCUUCGUUCACAGUUCACACACACACACAGCACAGCAAAAAAAAAAAAAAGGGGCAGAACACAGGUCACGCGAUGAUCUUAUUUGCACGGUGCAAUCGAGCAAUUCAAAAGGGUAAGGAAACGGGGUUCAGCAAUCAGCAGCAGACUGAAGAAUAUGGCGUUAUUAUUAAUCCACUAUACAGCUGACAAAGUACGUACUAGUACUAGAAACCAUGCAGGCGAAGACAACCGAAUUAUACCUUUCGAUUCUUUUUCGUUCUUUGCAUUUCAAAAGUGGAGAUGCCAGGAUCCACUGCCAGCGACCGAUGCUGCUGUCCUUGUUGUAUAGUAUGAUUCGAGAUUAGGAGCAUGCAAUGCAAUUAUUCUCAGCUCUGCAUGCAUGAUUUGCUUUUGCUUUUCUGGGGCGAGCGAGCGAGCGAGCGAGCAUGCGGAUGCGGACGACGUCGUCCCCGUUGUCUCCCCGCUGUCCACCUUCUCCUGUCUCAUGCUCGCUCGCUCUCGCUCUCGCUCCGUGAGAUGGGGCCGUGCCGUGUGAUCUUCCGUAGCUUCUGAAUGUUCAGCGUGCGGCCAUGGCUGGUUCAAUUCGGCUGUUCGGGUUCGGCUUCGUCACGGGGCCGGGUUUUCGCGCAAGCUUUUUGGUGGAACCUGGAACCGCCGCCCAGAAAUUAGAAAACGAGGCCUUCUCUGUUGAUGAUUGAUUGCUGAUAGAAUGCGACGGCUCAGCGGUUUCUCCUCGGCGUCCAGAUGCUUCGGCCGUUCUUAUCGUAGUCGCAUCAGUACUGCUUUUAUUAUUGAUGAAUGGAAUGAGACCUCAAGCAUACGUGUCUGCUCAACCAUUGAGAAUUUGAGAUGCACAACUCAGAGGUUUGAAAGCCUCUUAUCUUAUAUUCUUGCACACUAUUGGCUGCAUGCUAAAAUUGUUGCCGAGGUUGGUGUCUAUGAAUUGAUGAAUGUCGACUCCGGACGUCUUUGAAAUGCAGGAAUUUCAUAAAAAUCAAUUCAUUAUUUUUGCAAAAAAAACAUAGGACAAUCCAAUUAAGAUCUUAUUUUAACUUAGGAAAUAUGAAUACCCAACCCUAAAAUCCUGCUUCUCUAAUCCCUACUGCCUGCUCCCCUCCCAUCGACUACUAGACAAGAGCUAGUACACGGCAAGUCUCCGGCCUACUGGGGCACCCACUCUGGACCGUCUUCUUUUGUUCUGGUGGGCUUUGCUCCUCCUUUGCAGCCCGGCCCAACUUGUACUGACGCAUCCGUCCUUCAUCCGUGGCCUCCUGGUCUGCUUCUUCUUCCUUGUUCUUCGCUCAACGCGCGGUUUCAAAGAUUUCAGAGAUGCAGCACGAGAGCUAAUCACGGGCACGGGGCACGGCCCUAUCUCUUCCGGAAUUCCAAAUGCCCUUGGUGGCCUUACAACGAUGGGAGCUAACUAGGAUUCAGGCCGUGAGCCUGUACUUCAUGGUUCGGGGCUUCGGGCGGGACAACCAAACUCCGACCAGCCUUCGGGGUCGCUUGGUACGCCGCUGCCCGCUGGCCCGCUGCUGUGGCCGUCGGCUCGACGGCGCCUACCCUUGUGCCUGUUCGGCUCUUACCAGCGAAAGGUACGGAUGCUCUGUAGUCUGUAUAUUAGGGCUAAAUUGAUUUUGCGCACUAUGUUCCGGGACACAAGAAACAUCCCUGUGUGUUACUGUUACAGAUGGAUGAAGCAUCUGGAUGAGCUGCUGCAUCCACAUCCGGUGAAAGCAUCAUCUCCCAUGCUGUUUCUGUUGCCACUCGAGAAUCGCCGAACGGAGCGCCCUGUUUGGGGUGAGCUUGCGGUGUGCAAGUCUCAGGUUUGUCAUCGGCGAUGUGCUGGCGCCGUCAAGCCACCCCCUGAUUGCUUCGGCUUCAUAUGUGAACCCAUCUGCCGCCAUGUGGGGGUCACUCAUCACCUCCUGUCCACCAUCGCAUCAGUAUCAAGCAUAUAAACCUUAUUGGCACAUGAUUGAAUUUUAUGCGACAUUUUGCAGUGUGGAUGUGGUGAAUCAGUACAGUACCUGAAAAAUUGGACAGAUGAAGUACGAUGGAGGGGAAGCAUCUUCUGUCGAUGAUGCAAAUCGAGAUGGUCCGGUGGUCAGGCAAGCGGCUUUCAUCAGUUGCUUGACCUCCUCCCAUACUUGCCCUGCGAGAUCUGGCUGGCGCCCCGAGCCCAAGGUGACGCACCUAAGCCCAAGAUGUGCCAUCUGGUUGGCCUGCACAAAAGGCCACUCCCCUGCGGAGGCGUCAAUGAUGGAAUGCAAGUUCCCUUUCUCCAUUGCUUCUUCCACUAUUUCACCAAUCCCUUGCUGUGAUCUCCCUGUCAGUAGGCGAAGGAUGAUAAUGCCGAAUGAGUUCACAUCGGACCACAGCAUGAGUUCCGCUGCUGACUUGAAUUCACCCUGGUCCAUAUAGUAGAGUGUUCCCUUAUGGGUCUCUGUAGGGUGACUUUGCAGGCUGGUGAUUGUUAUGUCGGGUUCUCUGAGAAAGUAGCAGAUGCCCAAGCCUCCCAGCUUGCUGACGAAAUUGGCAUCGAGGAGAAUGUUGCCCAGAUUUAGAUCACCGUGAACAAUUGGAUAAGGCUUGUGUGAGUGGAUGAAAGCCAAAGCUGAGCAUAUCUCCCCAAUGAUCCUUGUGCGCGCCUUCCAUGUGAGAGGUGGCAUGUUUUUCUUGCAUGAGAGCCAAUCCUCAAGACUACCAUUUGGGAAGAAUUCGUACACCAGCGCAAAAUUGUCGGGACAUACUCCUACCAGUGUGGUGAUGUUAGGAUGCCUCGCUCUACUGAGGACAGCAACCUGCAGGAGUGGAUAGUGAUGCCACAGGUGCAACAAUAGAUAUGCCACUGCUCGUUCGAAAAAGGGGUGCUAUAGAAUUAGUAAAGGGAAGUGAUGUCAACUACCUCUUGAUAAAAUCUUGCUUGUCCUUUUAAGCUUCUCGGAUGGAACAGCUUUAUUGCUAUAUUUGUGUUGCGGACGAAACCUUUAUAGAUGCUUGCAAAUCCAUCUUCACCAAUCUUGAAUUCUGCAUCAAAUCCUUUGGUUGCUUUCUGCAGCUCGACAAUUGAGAACUCAGUGUUCGGAGUUUCAGUUGUCACUAAGGCUCUUUGCUUGUUCUUUCGGCGUAACGCUUUGGCUUCCAUUACUGCAGUGUCUCUCUCAUGCAGUAGCUUGUCAUACUUUGCUUGGAGCUCUUGGAGAAGCUGUUUGCUGUUGGCAAGCUUUUCUUCAUGAACCUUCAUGGCGGCCUUUAUCUCAGUCAUAUGUUUGCCAUGCAUCUCAAGUAGCUUUCUUUUCGAUGCUUGAAUUUCUUCCAUCUGUCUUGUCAUUGUCUCCUCCAUUAUUUCCUGUUUUUUCACCUGAUGUAUGUGCUGAUGCUCCAGGUCUUUAAUCUGUAAUAGCAAUCAGCGUUUUCAUGACCACCUGUUACUUUUUAUUAAGGACCAAUGAUGCAGAAAAGUAAGAAGAAAAACAUACCCUUUGAAGAUAUGAAAGCUGAUCUCUUUCGGCUUUUCUUCUUCUGUUAGUUUCUUCAGUCGUAUCCUUUUCAAAAGAUCAGUCAUAUAUUAUGAACACUGUUCAACAAUACACUGAACUUAAUAAUAUACUGUCAAACUUACAGCUUGUUCCAGCUUUAGCUUCUGAUCUUUUAAAUCUUGAAAGUCAUGAUACAGUUUAUCUCGUUGCCUCUUUGUUUCUUCAACCUCUGUCCUCUGUCUUGCUACCUUCUCCUCCAUAUAUUCCCUCUGUGCCUUCUCAUUCUGGAGCAAACUCUCAACCUCUUUAACCUGUAUAAGAAUACUUUACUUCUUGUAUCACAUGCUUCCAUAGUUGAACCAUAAACUCCUGAAGUCCUGAUGCAAUGCACUUACUCUUUGAAGUGUCGAAAGCAGAUCCAUUUUGAUUUUUUGGCGUUUGUUAGAUUCCUCACUUGAUUGUUUUAUAAAAUGAUCAGUAAUUUCUUCCACAUGAUCUUUUGAAGCUGACUUAAUUUGUGUUAUACGUUGUUCAAGUAUAAGAUUAUGCUUAUCUGAAUCCUGUAAUUUAUCAGAUAACGUGCAUCGUUGUCUCCUCAUUUCAUCAAUCUCCAGCCUUUGUCUAACAAGUGUCUUCUCAAUUUCUUUUCUCUGGCUUACCUCGUGAAGAUAUGAAUCUUCCAACUCUUUAAUCUGCAAGGAGAUUUCGCCAUUUUGGUCAUACUGGACCUAAAUGAGUAAUUAAUUAUAGCAGGUGCUUUAGUAGUGUGUGAUGUUCAGUACAAUGGUUAGAUGGUCUACUUAUUACUUUUCUUUACAUAUAAUGCAAGCUGCAGUGUGACCCAUAAAACAAAGCUUACUCUUUGAAGUGCUGAAAGCAGGUCCAUUUCAGCUUUCUGGAUUUUGUUGGAUUCAUCAUCAGCUUCCUUUAACAACUUAGCUUCAGUACAUGGAUCUUGAAGCUUCUCAUACUUUUCUUCAUCUACACUGGGUUCGUCUUCCUGUAUGAUACCAUCCGAUUAUUUUGGUGUUUCCAUAUUGAGUAAUAGCAUUACCAUCUGCUUAAUACUACACAUACCUGAUUAUAUGCUGAUGCUAGCAACAAGUAGACACUAUCAGGUUCUUCAGGUGUAAAAUGCACCACUGGUGUUGUUUUUUGUGUAUCACCAAUAACUGAAGGUAGAGCAGCAGUUUCGGAGAAGCUGACAGCAUCAUCAGUUCCUGAUGAUCCGUAAACUAUCAUUCCCCAAUCUGGAGUUAUCAUUGCAGUGAAAUAUCAGUGUGACUACCUUCAAAAGAAAAUUCAACCGCUUGGUUGCAUGGUUGAAAGCAGCUUCCUUUUGCUCACAUAAGAAACUGUUCCUUCUUGUAGACACAUAUGGCACGUGAAUAUGGGUGUCUUCUCAUGAUCUAAAUAUGGUUGGUUUAAUCUGUGGCAUCUAUGUAAAACCCAUAAAUUGUUGCCAUGUCUGGGUGCAAACCCUAGGUCUCAUUUAUCAUAUUACUUUGAGCAUAUGUAAAUAAUACGAUUUAUUACAAACAUACAUAAUUGUAAUGUCUUGAAUUUAUUUGUAAACACCACUGAUUCCUAAAAUUCAUGUUAGAUGACUUUACAACUAAAUUUCAAAUCUCUUAGGCGUUCUAUGCAAGUUUUAUAUGGGAGUGUAUAAUAACUAAAUAUUUGAGUCCAAAGAACUACAGAACUUUUUUUUUUCAAGUUACAUCCUGUCUAUAUAUUUAGGAUAGUCACCUCCAAAAAUAUAAUCCCAUUCAGUCAUUUUUGUUGCAGCCGAUGAGCUUGAAAUGUAACCUUUGUGGCUUGAUUCUUCGUAUUCCAACUCAGUUAGUGUCAUUGAUCCCAUUUGAUUUGAAAUGCUGUAUGCUGGUGACAGUGGUUCAUUGCUUUCUUCAGGUGAUGGAAGUAUUGCAGGAAGGCUUUCAUUUGCUUCCCUGUAAGUGUUGAUAUGCAUGGUUAAUAAUUUUUCAGCAUUUGCAACCCUCCUGCACUGAAUUUAAUGCAGACUGUAUUUUGAACUCGGACAAUAAGGGGGAGAAUUCUUGCUAAGGACACAGUAGACUGGGUUCCCAGCUGAAAUGGAAUGUACUAUUUGUAGAUUUAGAAGUCUGGAAGUACUAAAAUUUCAGGUGUCAACUGAACCACGCCCUUUACCUGGUACAUAUCAAAUGACCUUUACAAGUAAACCACAUCUUGCAUGAUGGAGCUGCUGUCUUCAUAAGCUUUAGUGCUGUCUUUGACUUUGGUGUGUUCAUUUUUCUACAGUUUGAGAGCAUCUGUUAGAAUGUGCGAUUAUGUAAGAUAUGCUCUUAAGAAACUGCUUGGUCUAAGCAUGCUAGCUUCCUAUUCAAUUCUUGGAAGAAGAGAAAAUAAAAUAUUCUGUUACUACUACCAGAUAACCGGCUUAUAAGAAAACUUUUAACUAUCUCAGCUCAAGUUCGAGAGAGUAUGGUGAUGUUCUCGUUAAUCAUGCAGAAUCAUAGAAGUGAGAUGCAUAGUCAUCUUAUAUGUGCAUCCAAAUUUAGGAAAUAGCGUGAUUUGGUUAGUUUGAUCCAUACUUAGAGAAGUGCCGGUCUGCAGCUGCUCCCAUGACAAGCUCGGUUAUGUUAUGAAGGGAAAUGAGCUCCUCAAGUCCCUUAGCUACAUUAUCCGUCUCAAUUAUUAGUUUCGCACAGCCAACCUGAAACAUUAGAAUUUCAUGUUCAUCUUGUUGAUUUCAUUUAGUGACGAAGAGGAAAAUUGCCAAAGUGAAAAUUUCAUGUUUUGUAGCUAAUUCGUGCGUGUAGCAAUUGGCUACAAUAAAAUUGAUGCUGGAAAUUGCACCUCUAGAUCUUCCCUUGUGCAUUUUACUAUCUGCACAUACAUAUCUAGGCUCAUCUCUGCCUUUGCUCGCUUCUGCUUUCUGUACUCCUUGAUUUCUUCUGGUUUCAUGCUGGUAUGACCCCUCUCUGAAAUGUAGUUGAAAAAUCACAAGCUGUUUACGUUGAAAAUGUAAGACGCGAACAUUCUCCUUUGCCCAAAAAGCUCUGUUUGAAGUGUGAAGGGACGUUCUGUUUUACUAGUGGCAUAGUUCGUAGUUAUUUACACACUUGUCUUAUUUUUAAAAACAAAAUCUAGAAACUCUUUCAUUGAUUAAUAUAAGAUUACGUACGGCACUUAUUUUAGGACGGCAUGAUUAUAUAUUGUGUAGACAAUUGUAGGUAUGGGAACUGUAACAAACGCAACAAAUUCCAAUCCAUACGUGUGCUACUAGAGUUGUAAAGCAGAUGCAAUUGCUUUCAAAAUUCAGAUACAGAGACAUGUUUGCAGAAUCAUGAUUGCGCUUCAGGUGAACUGGAAAAUAUUGUUGGUUAUGUGCUGUUUGGCAUAGGUCAAGCUUGGAGAGUUUUUGUAGCUAGGGAUAAACCAGCAGGAGCUGAUCCAGUUAAUGGCAUGCCAUUCGUUGAAGGUCUAGGUUGCCACCAAAAUCUGGAAAACACAGCUAAUUUGCAAAUCUACAUCAUUUGUGGUGCCAAUUAACAGGGCCUUUGAUGAGCCAUCUCUCAGUUUUUUUCCCCCAAGCUCUAAAAAGUCUUGGACUAGAACUACUAGCAGUUAUGAUAUAGAAUUUAAACAAAUGUGUUUAAACCACUUUAUUUUGAUCCUAUAAUUAAGCUUACUCUGGGCGAUCGCUGGCACAGGGCUGUGCACAUGAGCUAUGACAAUCUCGGAUCCCUCCCUGACCAAAUUGUGCAGCGCCCACAGCAAGGUGCUCCUCCCGUCGCUGACCUCUUCGGGCACCGCGACGAACACCUUGUGCUCGGCCGCGGCGCUCCGGUCGUCCAGCUCGUCCUGCACGGAGCCCGCCGACGAGGUGGCGGGGCUGCACCGUGCGGUCCAAAACAGCGGCUCCCACGUCUCGUGCUCUCCGACGCCCGCCGCCUCCAUUUGCUUGCGUUGCCGCUACGAUCAGAACGAAAGAAACGCUGGGAGGUCGAUCGGGUACGGUGGUUGUGAGUUCGUCGUAGUCGUGCCCUGUAUAUGUGUAGUGAAUGGCAGAAGGAAAGGGACGAGUCACGGCGCGCGCGAGACUGUGUCUCUUUGUCCUGCUUGCUGCAUUGACCCCGCCAUUCUGCCAAUUAAUAGUUAUAAUAAGUACCCCAAAGUCGUCGCCGUGAGCCCAUGUUGCACCAGGAAACUACGUAGGACUGCACCCGCAUUUGCAGCAAUACGUACGUGGUGGUACGUGGGCUGCUGAUGCUGGCAUGGUUCAUGGGUUUGCGUGUGGACCCGAGGUUAAAAAAAACCCAAAACUUUACAAGAUUCUUCAUCACAUCGAGGCCUUGUUUAGUUCACCCUGAAAACCAAAAAGUUUUCAAGAUUCCCCGUCACAUCGAAUCUUAUGACACAUGCAUGAAACAUUAAAUAUAGACGAAAAUAAAAACUAAUUACACCGUUUAGCUGGAAAUCACGAGACGAAUCUUUUGAUCCUAAUUAGUCUAUAAUUGGAUAAUAUUUGGCACAAACAAACGAAAGUGCUACAGUAACGAAAAGUUUUCACUUUUCGGAACUAAACAAGGCCCGAAUCUUGCGGCACAUGUAUGGAAUAUUAAAUAUAGAUAAAAAGAUAACUAAUUGUACAGUUUACUUAUAAAUCACGAGACGAAUCUUUUAAACCUAGUUGCUCCAUAAUUGGAUAAUAUUUGUCAAAUAAAAACAAAAGUGCUACAGUAUCAAAAUCCAAAACGUUUUUGAAUCUAAACAAGGCCUGACUUAAACUAGCAAUCAAACCGACGACUCGGCGUUGGCCCAUUACAAGUAUGUGGCUUUGUUUAGUUGCAAUUUUUUUUUUUUUUUGCAAAAUGAACGUUAUAGUAUUUUCGUUUGUAUUUGACAAAUAUUGUUCAAUCAUGAAUUAACUAAACUCGAAAGAUUCGCCCGUAAAUUAUAGGUAAAUUAUACAAUUAGUUAUAUUUUUAUCUAUAUUUAAUGUUUUAUAUAUAUAUAAAAAUUUACAAAAUUUUUAGGAAGUAAACAAGGCUUGUGUGUGUUCUGGGGCGGAUCCAGGCCCCGGGCUAGGAGGGCUGUAGCCUGGGGUGCAGCCCAAAUUUUCUAUAAACAAGUCUUCGAAGCCCAUAGAAAUCUCCAACAUUUAGCCCAAAAUAUUUUAUUCUACAACCAACCUAAACAACUUUUUACUAAUUAGCCCCCUUAGAUGGUGAUUCUAGAUCCGUCCCGGUGUGUGUUUCUACUUUCUAGAUAUGCAAAUUCCUGUGACCUUGAUCUUACAAGUAGUAACAAUAUUUCAUUGACCAAGAAAAAAGGUUGCAACAAUAUUUUGACCCCUCUGUUGUAAAAAAUAUAUUUUUUUUGACCCCUCACACGACACGAGUCGUCGCGCGGCAGAGACGGGUAGCCAAACGGGACAUCAAAUUGGCCCACGAAAAAUAGGUUCCAAGAAGACAGGCCAGCCUUUGGGCCUCUGCCGCUUUGGUCAGCGUUGACUUUUCGGCCUACGAAACCUCAAUGGCCCAAUCCGGGCUCACGGUUUGAAACUUCCUCUCUUAAUUUUUACGAUAUACCGUUUUUCCUUCCUUUUAACUUUAAAAUUCAGCAAACCACCUUUCUUAAUUUUUUAAAUCAUAUAUUUUAUCUCUCUAGAGCAGUUUUGAAGACGAUUUUGCUAUAGUGAAUAAUGACUUUUGCUACAGUAACAAUAGUUUUGUCUUAUUUAUUUAUUUAUUUUAGCUAAAUAUUUGAAAAAUUAUAGUAAAUCACAUAAAAUAUAAAAUAUAAAAUCUAAUUUUGUUAGCCUCCACAUGAAUAGGUCUAUAUAGUGAACAUAUAAUAUGGUAUGAUUUGGUAUAAAGUUUUUGCUAUGAAGGUUUUUAUCUUUAUAUUUUAAAUUUUGGCUAAAUAUUUGAAAAAUCAUAGUAAAUUACACAAAAAUCAAAAAUCAUAAAAUGGAAAGACUAAUUCUAUUAGACUCAACAUGAGCAUAUCUACAUAGUGAAUAUAUAGCCUAUUCGCUGGUCUGAAAAGUCAUGACGAAAAAUAUUGUUUGUUGAUUUAUUGUAAGAGAAAAACAAUGCUAGCUAACAAAAAAAUACGGCUUAUAAGACAUACGAACAGACUCAUAAUAUACAUGGCCAUGCAACCGUGGCCUGGCAUGGUGGCUACCGAGCCCGGGCUAGCCCGACUCGAGGGACCAGGCCGUGCCUAGGCCACCACCCAGGUACGCGGCACGACCUAUUCCAACGAUGAGCCCGGUAAAAAUGAACUGUUGGUAUUGUAGUUAUGAUAUGUAUAUAUGUGUUGUUAAUUGUUAUAUGGGUAAAAAUAAUGAAUAAUUGGUGAAAAUGAUGAAAUAAUGAAAAUGAGUUGUUGUCGAUUUGAUGGGUCGUAGACCGACACGAUACGAAAAUCGACCCACAGACCGUGCCUUGGGCCAAAGGGCAAGCACGAAGCCCGUAGAGACAUGACCCGCUAGGUACGACGACCCGUAGCGGCCCGACGAUCUAAGGCAUGGCACGACAUGGGGCUGGUCCGGCACGGUCUUGGACAUAUAUAAUCAUAAUAUGGUAUGCUUUAAUAUAUUUUUUUAUUAUAAUUUUAGAUUUAUAUUUUCUGUCAUUAAUUAAAACAAUUCAUAACUGUAACUUCUAUAAUUAUUUUUCUACAAAGUUACAAACACUAUGUGCAGUUGAAAUUUGGUUGUUAGCAUCAGCCACGGAGCUCAAUUUGCGCGUCCCUAAACGGUUACCGCCGCCGCUGCUGCUGCCACUGGAGAAUCGCCGAGCGGAGCGCCCUGUUGGGCGUUAGCUCACAGUGGUCGAGCUUCAGAUUCGUCAUCGGCGACGUGUCACGCCCGCUGUCGAACCACCCCGUGAUCGCCUCGGCCUCGUACGUGAACCCGUCGGCGGCGAUGUGAGGAUCGCUCAUCACCUCCUGGAAGAUUGGGCAGACGAAGUAGGAUGGCGCGUGGGCGUCAUCCAGCGACGACGACGGCCACCCACCGGCGUCGACCGAGGCGGCCUUCAUGAGGGGCUCCACCACCUUCCACACCUCCCCCGCGAGGUCAGGCCGCCGGCGCCGGCUCAUCUCCGCGCACCGCAGACCGAUGUGCGCUAGCUGGUUAGCCUGCACGAACGGCCAGUCCCCCGCGGUCGGGUCGAGGACGGCGUGCAGCUGCCCCCGCUCCACCGCGUCCUCCACCACCUCCGCGAUGCUCUUGGGCGGCCGCCCCGUUAGGAGCCGCAGGAUGAUGAUGCCGAACGAGUACACGUCGGACCGCGGGGUGAGCUCGCCGGUGGACAGGAACUCCGGGUCCAUGUACGCGAAGGUUCCCUUCGGCGUGGUCGUCCUGUGCAGCUUCGUGGUGAUGGCCCUGGUGGUGGUGAUGGUGGUGCUGGACUGGCUCAGGAGCCGGCAGAUGCCGAAGUCCCCGAGCUUGCUCACGAAGUUGGCGUUCAGGAGGAUGUUGCCCGGCUUCAGGUCGCCGUGAACCACCGGGUGCGGCUUGUUGGAGUGGAGGAAGAUGAGGGCCGAGCACAUCUCGCAGAUGAUCUUGGUGCGCACCUGCCAUGUCAGUGGCGGCGUGUUGUCGGUGCACGCGAGCCGGUCCUCGAGGCUGCCGUUGGGGAGGAACUCGUACACCAGGCCGAAGGCCUCCCGGCACGCGCCAAUCAGCGUGACAAGGUUUGGAUGCCGCACUCUGCCGAGAACAGCAACCUGCAAUGGUGACACGACACUUAAGGGUCAGGUUCAGGUAUGAUAUAAUUGCCUAUUUGAUUGAAUGAAGAGAAAAAGAGAAUGAUCCGAUGAAUUGAUUCACCUCUUGGUUGAAUUCUGACUGUCCUUGCAUACUCUGUGGAUUCAGCAGCUUUACAGCUACGAUUGUGUUGCGGAGGAACCCUUUGUAGACGCUUCCAAAUCCACCCUCGCCAAUCUUAAGCCUCUCAUCAAAGCCUUCAGUGGCUUGUUCGAGCUCAAAGUAGGAGAACUCGGUGUUCAGUGUUUCAGCUGGCAAUGGUGCUGAAAUCUUAUUGUCAUUCUUCUGGCGCAAGCCUUCAGCUUCAGUUACAGCUGCGUCGCGCUCUUGUCGCAGCUUGUCAUUAUCUGUUUUCAACAUUUGGGUGAGGUAUUCGUUUGCUGACAUCUUCUCUUCGUAAUCUUUGAUAGCAGAUGCCAUCUCUGUUAUUUGUUGCUCAAGGACGAGUUUCUGCUCUUUGACAUCAUUCAAUUCGUUGGAUGUCACAUCAUGCUGUCUUUUCAUUUCUUCAAUCUCCUGUUCUUUGCUCGCCAGUGUUUCCUCGAUUGUUUUGCGCUGCCUUAUCUCAUGCUGAUAUGACUCAUAUACCUGUAAAAGCAGUAGUAUGUGACUUUGUUCAGUAUUUGCAAUCUCAAUCAUGGAUAAUGGAGAACACUUACAUUUCCGAGAGCUGAAGCCAUAUCUAGUUCAGCCCUUAGGCGUUUGGCUGAUUCUUCGUGUGCUUCUCUCUUAUACCGUUCAGCUUCACUGAGAGCCUCUGUGAGUCUUCUGUAUAUGUUAGCAUUAGCAUCAAGGCCUGGAUUUUCCUGUGUGUGGUACCAAACUUACUUCAGUCCCCUGUUAUAUUCAUAUAUGAUAGUUUUGUUUACCUUGAAGUUAUGUCUAUUGAUGAUACAUACCAGCUCAUGAGAAGGGGAUGAAAAGUUCUCAUCAUCAGGUUCUUGCAUUUCAUGCGGCAUUGCUGAUCCAGAGAUAGUGACUGCAUCAUCAUUUCUUGAUUGAUCGUGCCAUGAGUUCUGCGAUCUCCUCCCAAAUCCAUCCCAGGAAUCUAUAGAACUUCUUGAUGUUCUUGUAGGCCUGCCACAGGAUUCAUAUAGCCCAGACGAUGUACUGAUAGAUUCUAGAGAUGGAUACAGCCCCACUUCUGUUCUCGAUCGUAUCUGAUCGUGCCUUGGACUUCCGUUGGAGCUUGAUGCAUCACUCUCUGAAUGACUGAUUGCCAUUGAUCUCAGACGGCUACCAACGCUGGUGACUGAUGACCCUGAUGCAACCGUGAACGCAGGUGAUGGUGGUAUUGCAGGAACAGUUGUAUUUGCCUCCCUGCAGCGUUUAGAGGUAUGGUUUAAUCUCUUUGGUAUUUUUCCAAUCAAAUUUACUGACAUUAACUCUUUUGCAAAAUAUGAAAGUUGGUUGUAAUAGCCGAUGUUAAGACUCGAAAAAGUGAGAUGUUACCGCAUCUAACUCUAGUGGAACUCAAACCAUAGCCACAGUUGUUGACCACUUCACUGAUAUACUAAUAUGCUAGAAAAUAAUAUUUAUCUUAGGAAGAUUGGCUCAAUCUUACCUGGUGCAUAUAAGAUGCCCUUUACAAGUAAACCAUAUCUUACAGGAUGAAGCUGCUGCCUCUGUCAGCCUGAGUGCCGUCUUGGACUUCAGCGAUUUCAUUUUCCUAUGAUAGGGGAACACUUAUUAGGUAGAAUCACCAUUUUUUCCUUCUGUUUCCUUUUUUACUUUCAAUUCAGUGAGAUUUAGCUCCACAAUAUAGAACUUUGUGUGCUAAUAUGGAAUUAAAUGCUUUGUUUGAUGAUGUUUUUUUGUAGCCUUAAACUACAACAAAAAAAUGUGAGAAAAACAUCAAUCAUUAGGUGUGUAAUCCUUACUUUGAGUGAUGUUUGUCUGCAGCUGCUCCCAUGACAAGCCUGGUGAUGCCGUGAAGAGCAAUUAGCUCCUCAAGCCCUUUAGCAACAUCCUCGUUGUCGAUUAUUAUUUUCUCGCAGCUGACCUACGGAAGGUAAUUUGGCAGAAAUUUGUCAUUUAAGAUACAUAUAUAUAUGCGUUCACUAUAUUCUCCAAUUCAAUACUGAAUGGUUUAUGUGGUCCAUUAGUUGUAUUCAUGGCAUGAGAGAGAUGAGGAGGAGCACCUUCUGCCUUAUGCAUAUCUUGACGUAUUCAUUUAGUUUCUCUUCUGCCCUUGCUCGCACCUUCUUCCUAUGAUCAUUGACCUGUUUUGCAUUCACCAUAGUGUAAUGAACUUUCCCUCCCACUGAAAUAACAGAAUAAUGAAUAGAGAAUAGCAAGAUUAUGUCGGACAUAUAUGAAUAGAGAAGAAACAUUUUGUAAUAAAUAAAAGGCAAAGCAAAACAAAAUAACCUCACAAAAGAGGCAACAACAAAACUACCACCGGAAGAAACACAAUAGCAACGAUCCUCAGAAACAUCGGCUGUCAUACGUCACUCUGCACAUCACCAAGAACAGCGAUGUAAACUAGGAGGAUGAUUAGGUUUUUCACAACGAUGCCUCUAGAAAGUUUUUUAACCAAACUCCUAUAGAGUAAGGAGACUCUCGAGUCUCGACAAUACCUCCAGGCGUGCCACCGUAGGCGUCACUAUCAAUGCAUAAUACUAGUUCACUAUCAAUGCAUAAUACUAGUUCCGAGAGUGUUUUUCUAGUCAGCAACCAUGGUUUUGAGAGGACGGAACCGUGCGUCACGAAUUCAGAAGAUGGAAGCGCCUUUUUUGGAACGGCGAAAACAAGUUUAGCAGCUCAGCUAACAAAGAAUGAGCAGGUAAGCAAGUGAAGCUCAGUUAAGAAGAUGAGUCUUUGAUUUGCAUGACAAAACGUGAAAAUUCCCUUUCAGCUGUGCUGUCCGUACAGAGUAUGAAAGCCUUAUGAUUGCCUGACCCUGACUGCUAUCUAGAGUCAACAAACCAAACCAGUUCCAGGAACAGCAAACCCAAGGAGAUGCAGACGGCAGCAGCAUUCAGAAUUUCAGAUUCAUGGAUACUAACCCAUCUGAAAAUCGUCCAAACACAAACAGUGCGGGCUAUUAAGGAAGCCUUACUCAUGGGGAUCAUCUGCGCGGGGCAGUGGACAUGAGCGAUGACGACCCCGGAGCCGGAGCCGUCCUUGGCCAGGUUCUCCAGCGCCCACAGCAGGGUGUUCUUCCCGUGCUUGACGUCCUCCGGGACGGCCACGAAAACUCUGUUCUCCACGGGCGGCGCCGGUAGGAUCGCAUCCAUUAUCUCAUCGCCGCCGGUGAUCUCCGCGGCGCUGCUCACGGACGUCCUGAAGCUGUGCUGCGACGACGACGACGUGUCCCACCGCCUGUGCGCCGCACUGCCGGUGCCGGCGCCCUCCAUCCGUCCGCCCGCUGUCGUUUGCGCUUCUCACGAGAUGGUUUGGAGCGGAUGAGUACCUUUAAUUUAUCGUUGCCAUGGCGUGUGACUUUGUAUUUGUUAGUCAACUCUACGCGGAUUAUUUUAGUCGGUAGUUCCUCCGGCCUCCGUUCCAGAACAUAUGUACCCACAAGGCCACAACCUCCUUUGGUUCUAUCCGAUAAAAAAUGUUGAUAGCUGAGUGUCUCUUUGUGGAUCUGAAGCAUCCCCUUCCUUCUAAAUUAUAAGAUAUUUUAAUUUUUUAAUAUAUUUUUUCUAUACAUUUAGAUAUACCAAAUGUCUAUAUUCGUAGAAAAAUCAAUAAAAUUAAAAAAAGCCAAAACGUCUUUUAAUUUAGAAUGGUGAGGUAGCAUAUCUGCAAAUCGAAGCCAAAACUUACCAAGUGGAUGAGCAGGAGAGCAUCUCCAAGAGUUUACUAUUUUUUACUUGGCAAAUCUUGUGUUUUGCCAACUCCUAAAACAAAAUACCAAAUGAAAAAAAGAGACUAUUUCCAAGAGUUUGCUAUUCUUGAUUUGCCAUAACCAAAAAUAGAAGGCCCACAAGAUUUCUUUUUACCGAUCAAGCUGUUGUCGCAGAAUCAGCGAGAUUGAUGCCACCGCCGCGUCGUCCUUCCUAUGCUGCACGUGAAGGUUCCCUCUCCCAGCAAUUAUCUCCACCGCCGGCCAUCUCCCCAAGCAGCCACGUACCUGAUUGGAUCAAGGGCAUCACGCAGCAGCAGGAGCCGUCGGGGCAGAGGCCGGCCUUGCGCGCGUGAACUGAUGAGAUGACUCACGCAGCAGCCGUUGGGGAGGAGGCCGGCCUUGCGCCGUGAAUUGAUGAGAUGGUUCACGCAACAGCCGUCGAGGAGGAGGCCGGCCCUGCGCACGUGAACCAGAUGGCUGUGUGCGGAUCCGAUCUCGCGGGAGGAAGACGACGAAGUUUCCUUGGGCGCGCGGGAAGGAGCCGCUACGGAACGGGAUACUACGAUGCGCGGUCGAUACGUGCGCGCAUAUAUGAGCGUGCGGAGGGGAAGAAUGACAACUUGCUAAAAUUGCCAAGUUAAUUUACCAAUCUGUUGGAGACUACAAUUUUUUGUUUUGCCAAAUUUUUAAGAAUAGCAAUCUCAUUUGGUAAACUCUUGGAGAUGCUGUUAAGUGACAAAACGGGCCAUUGGCGCAUAGCAAGCUGUAGGCUGUAGCAGCUUAGGUGUGUAUCAAGCUUUGCCAAGCACAGAACUGGGUAGUAUAGGAGAGUUUACAGAAGAACCGGACGAAGAAGCGACGUUACCUCUAAGAAAGCGGGCCAUCGUUGCCCUCCAAUCGUUGGCAAGACAUUCUGAUGUUGAAGAUCGUUUGUCGAAGAAGCUGCGCAAGUGGUGGAAGGCAUGCAUAUGCACUAGUAUGCAUGAUCAACUUUAUAGAAAAAAAUGCAAUUAUUAAGUUACAGAAGAAUCAUUAAUUGUAAGCAAACAUAGUACGACCGGAAGAAUAUAUAUGUAUAUCUCAAUAUAUGAGACUAAUUUCAGAAUAUGCUGCGUUGCACGUUACUGUCCGGAACCGCGGGAGACUUUGACCAUUCCAACAAAUACAACUGGUGUACCACGUCUUCUGUACCAGUAUCGUCGUCGGGCCCUCCUGCCUACAACUACAAUGAAAUUGAAGAGAAACUAUAUCUCAAUUUAGGGGUUGUUUAGUUUCUUUUUCAUCAAAAAAAUUUGGGUUUUAGUCUUUUUUUGCAUAAUAAAACUAAAAAUCAUAUAAAAUUUUUGGUAAACAUGUGACUAUUCUUCGUUUUGAAUUUUGGCUUCAAGAGACAAAAAAAAAACCAAAAAAACCUCAAAAAGUCUUCAUGAGAACAAUAAAUUUUAUAUUUUGGAUGAAACUAAAUACAACCCUAAAGUUCUUGAUAUUUUGUAUUUUACAUUUUACGGGAAACUAAACAUCCCAUUAAAAUUAUACUACUACAGUAGUAUAUUAUACGCUGACGGGUGAAAUCAGAGCGCGGAGACUUUUGAGUAGUCUUUUGUGUCAGGGUCAGGGCCCAAGCGCGUUUUUGCCCCCGGUAGGCUGGUACAAUUGUAAAAGAAGCACAGGUCAUGCCUGGUCAACGUGAGCGAGCAUAAUUUGCAGAGUACUCCGUGUGACUUUCUUUGGCGUUGUGCUCUCCAUGCCUCCAUUUCGCCUCCUAGGAGAUUCCACAGAUUCUUCACGGUAAGGCCUUGUUUAGUUUCGAAAAAUUUUGGAAAAUCGACAUUGUAGUAUUUUCGUUUGUAUUUGACAAAUAUUGUUUAAUCAUGGACUAACUAGGCUCAAAAGAUUCGUCUCGUCAAUUCCGACCAAACUGUGCAAUUAUUUUUUUAUUUUCGUCUAUAUUUAAUACUCUAUGCAUGUGUUUAAAGAUUCGAUGUGACGGGAAAUGUGAAAAAUGUUGCAAAAUUUUCUAGGAACUAAACAAGGACUAAGUAUUAUUACAUUCUUACAUUCAAAUAUUACACUGAUGUGAUGUUCUCCAUUCUAGUCCUUUUUCUUUCUUCUUUUGCUUACUCCGUCUCAAAAUAUAGGUCAUUUUAAUUUAUCAUAAGUCAAAUUCUUUAACUUUUAUCAAGUUAUUAUUCAAAUACAUAAACAUUUCUAAUAUCCAAUUGUCCACCACAAAUUUUGUCUUUUUUUGCGCUUAGUGUGUAUUUCAUUAAGAUAAAGUGAGACUUACAAGCCACACACACACACCGAUCGACCAAAGCUUGCCGCCGAGAGGUCAGCCAUGGCUCCGGUAGCGAACCAGGAAAAAAAAGAACAGAGGACCCAAGCGCUUAAGUUUCUAUAACAAAAAAAAAAAAGCAUUUGGCGAAUAAGAGCAACACCCACACCCAUAAUGUAUUUAUUUGGUAUUGUACGUUAAUAUAUUUUUCUAUAAGUUUUAAUAUAUUUUUCUAUAAGUUUAGUUAAAAUUUAAAAUAUUUGCUUUUAGAAUAAUAAAACAAUGAUCAUUUUGAUAUGGGGUGAGUUAUUAACAAAAAGUAGAAACAUUAACGUGUACUACCUUUGUCCUAAAAAGAAAAUAAUUCUAGGUGCAUUCUCGAUUAAAGUGUUUGAAGUUUGACUAAUUAUAUAGAUAAAAAUAUUAAUGUUUGUGACAUCAAAUAAAUAUACAACAACAAUAUGUUUCACGGCAAAUCUAGUAUACUAUUAGUACGAUAAAUAAAAAUUAGUAUCUUAUAUAAAUUUAGUUAAACUUGACAUAUUAAACCCUAAUUCUUUCUUAGAAUUAUAUUCUUUUUUGAAUAGAAGGAGUAUGUUAUACCUUAAGGCUUGUUUGGCUGCACACUGAUCCACCCCAAUCCAUAUGGGUUCGGAGGUAUUGGGAUGGAUAAUUAAUUAAAUUUUCCACCUUAAUACCUUACAAUCCAUGUGGGUUGUGGUGGAAUUGUUUGCAACCAAAUAAGCCCUUAGAGCAUUUUCAACUGUUUGGCAAAAUUCGUUUUCCAAUUCUUGUUGUUUGUCAACUUCUAAAAUAAUAUAGAAAGAAUUUUUUUUAUCUCCAACAGUCUAACAAAUUUUGUUUCUAAAAACUCAAAAACUCGCUAACGAAGAGUCCCGCUAAGUGAACGAAGAAACCCGCUAAGUAACAAAGAGCCCCCUGCUAAGCAUGAGGAGGAAGACCGAUGCCAAGCACGGAACCCACGCGUAUAUUUGUGCGCUAGAUAGAGAGAUAUGACAAAUUGGAAAAGAUAGGGAAUUGGGAUACAAAACUGUUAGAGUGAGAGAGUUUUUUUUAUCAUUUUGCUAAAAAAUUGUGAAUGCUAUUAGAGAUGCUCGGUUGUUUCUUGUCUCAUCCAUGGAUGUUUUGGCCCCACCCACGGCCCACAUGUAAAUGGAGCAUAUAUAGAGAAAACGCGGAGGACCCCAUGAUGCAAAUUACUGAAUGACCAUAGGGGGGAACAGACUAGAAUUGGUAGAAUAGUUAAAGCCUAGUUAAUAAUUAGUUGUUAUAUUAGUUGGGCGUUCUAGAUGAUUUUGCCGACUAUAGAACAAACUAUAGAUGCGCCGUCUCGACGAGCUUCUUCUCCAGAGAUUUUCUUUCUUUUUUGGUUUUCGCCACGACUGACCUGUAAAAGUCGGCUGUAUAUGGUUAGGUUUCCUGCUCCACACACUGCAAAUUCGAUCCUAUAUAUCUCAACUGGUCCGUGCGAUCCUCGUACGAUCCGGUCGUACUUCGCUGAGCGACCGAGGGUCAACAAACAGUUGAAGACAAAGCCAUGGGACGGUCACGGUGCAAUAGCUGAAGGAAGCUGAUAUUACAUCAUCAUUGUAUGCAAUCAACCUCUGUGUUCUGCUGGUCUUAGAUCAGGAACUCAUCAAUGUCUAAGAUGAGCUGUGGUGGAGUUAUCCUUGACGAACUUCUUGAACGACACGAGGAUCGGGGAGCGCACCACGUUCUUGGGCGACACCCACGCGAGCUGCCCCUCGGCGAUCCCCUCCUGGAUACUUGUGUCCGUAGACCUGAUGGUGACCGUGAACCUCUUCGCCUCGUUCACCUUCCUGAACACGAGCAUCUCCGGAUCCACCGUCACCGACACCGUGCUCGGCACCUCCACCUUGGACACGUACACGGAGACGGCGCGCCCGACGUUGGUCACGACGCGCGUGACAUUGACGACGUAGGGCUCCUGGUCCAGGAACGCCGUGAUGGACGGGUAGUUGAGGUCCUUCUGCUCCACCACGGCCAUCUGCGCGCACGCCACCGGCGGCAGCGGGUGGAUGAUGGAGUUGAUCUCGUGGUCCGAGUACCUGAGCCCACACAGGUAGGGGAUGUAGUCCAGCGCCGUCAGGUUGUACACCAGCCCCGGGUUCAUGGCCUUCAUGGGGUCGACGAACCCGGCGCCCAGCGUCAGCAGGCUGGCAGGGGACCCGUCAUGGGCCGCUAUCGGCUUCCCGCUGCGGUCCUUGGGGUCGGCCGUCGUUAUGAUGGCCGAUUUGAUCGCCGCCGGCGUCCAUGUCGGGUGUGCUUUCUUCAGCACCGCGGCGACCCCGCUGAGGUGCGGCGUGGCCAUGGACGUGCCGGACAGGACGUCGAACUUGGCCGCCAGUGGAUUGGGUGGUGUCAUGAGCCCCGCCGGCUUGGGCACGCCGGCGAUGAUGUUCACUCCAGGGCCCGUGAUGUCGGGCUUGAGGAUCCCCUGGUUUUGCUUGCUUGGCCCCCGCGACGAGAACGCCGCCACCACGGGGGAGUCGCGGUUGCCCAGCACGGUUCCUUUGAAGAUCAGCUCGCCCGUCGGCAUGUCCGUGGAGUUCAUGUAUGCCCUGAUCUUCUGCCCUGUCGAGUAGGUCACCUGCGACGCCGGGAGCGCGUGCGCCUUGGGUUGGAUCACCGACCCGAACUCCACGAUGGUGAUCACAACCAUACCGGCCGCGCCGGCUUCGCGUAGGGCGGCGCCCAUCUCGAGGGAGGUCAAGUUGCCACCGGCGUCGCAGACGACUAUCUUUCCUCCGACGUGCUCCGGCGUAAGCACCUUCUCGUCGGAACAUGUGCCGUCGCUGAGGUCUCUUACCAGAGGGCGCGGCAAGCUUAGGAAACCCUGUGGCUGGAACAACGACUCGCCGUCGAGCUCGACUCCGUUGCCAAGCCUUACGGAGGCGACGAACCUCCGGUCAGUUGUCGCCGCCGCCACGGUGAGCAGCCACGGCGCCUCGUUGGCAACCGUGGCCGGGUCCGGGCCCAUGUUUCCACCCGCGGCGCUGAUGAAGAUGCCUUUCAUGAUGGCGGUGUAGCCCCCGAGCGCGAUGGGGUCGUAGGCGAAGUCACCGGCCUCGUCGUCGCCGAGCGAGAGCGAGAGCACGUCGACGCCCUCGUCGACGGCGUCGUCGAGCGCUGCCAGUAUGUCGUCGCGGUCGCAUCCCUUGUCCUCGAAGCACACCUGGUAGAGCGCGAUGUGCGCGCGGGGGGCCAUGCCGGCGGCCGUCCCGAGCCCGUUGCCCAUGACGUUGGCGCCGGGCACGAACGCGCCGGCCGCCGUGCUCGACGUGUGCGUCCCGUGCGAGCCCGUGCUGACGGGCAGCACCGGGUCGUCGACCCCUUGAAACUUCCACUUGGCCGACUCGUAGAACGACCGCGCGCCGAUCAGCUUGUUGUUGCAGACGGAGCUGUUGAAGUCGCACCGGCCCUUCCACUUGGCCGGCGGCGGCGGGACGCCCGUCCCGUCGAACGACGGGUGUCCGGGGCUGAUGCCGUCGUCGAGGACGCCGAUGAUGAUCCCUUCGCCCAUGUUGCUCUUGUUCCACAGGCCGCCGCGGGAGCCUUUGCCGUUGAGCCCGAGCAUCUGCGGCGUGUGGGUGGUCAUCAACCUGUACGUCUUCUCUGGUAUGGCCUUGACGAACCAGUCCAUGCCGGCCAUCUCGCGGACCUCGUCGACGGUGAGGCGGGCCGAGAAGCCGUUCACGACGUGGCGGUAGGAGUAGAUGAGGCGCGCCAUGGCGGCCGGAUCCUUGUUGAGCUCCUCCUCGGCCAUGUCGCACACGGACGCGAGCAGGGACGCGUGCCAGUCCGAGACGUCCUUGAACAUGCUCCGGUCGUACUCGUACGGCGUGCGCACGAUGAUGAGGUAGUUCUUGUGCAAGCCGUGGUCAUUGUGGGCGACGGCGGUGCUCACCAGAAGCAAGGCGAGGAAGAAGACGGCAGCACGGAGGGAGACAAGUGCCGCUAUGCGCAUUGGAUUUGGAGGAUCGUCCAUUGAAGAACAGACUAAACCAAAGAGAACCGAUGAUGGGCAGCUACAAGCGAGGAGAUUGCUAAUUAUUAUCCUAAAAACGGCAUUGUGCCUAACUAAUGGGAAUGAUGGGUAACCUUGUGCCUGCACUGCAGGAUGAACAAGCUUAAUAUAGCAUAGGUGAGCAGGAUUAAGGUUGCUUGCUUGCACGGCCACAAGCUCAGUUGCAUGUGCUUCAUUUGAGCUCCAAACGUGGAGGAAAUGGAAGAGGCUUCUGCACCUCACAUUUCUGCACGGUUGUGUGGAGAUGCCAGUCUAAAUUCAGUCUUCUCUUCAAUCUUGAUACGUACCCAACCUACAACGAAGGUUUCAAUGCGUCGGCAGGAAUCAUACAGAUCAUUCUGGCAUUCCGGCAUGCAAAUGCAGCGGUCACCCUAAUAAAAAAAAAUCAUAAAAUACAGUUAAUCAGGGCACAUGCCUGAAAAAGAAAGACAGAUCUCCCUAGCUUUGUGUCACGUUGUUUCUGCAUUCUAAAUUAUAAUUCACACUAACAUUUUUCCAAGUCAAAUUUCUCUAAUUUUUAUCACAUUUAUAAAAAAAAUCAUUAAUGUCUACAAUUUCUCUAUUUAUUAUUUUUGUGAAAUUCGCCUGAACUAUAUUCUAUAUAUACAUCAAUGUCUACAACCAUCAGAUUUCCAUCCAACAAAUCCAAAUCUAUUAGCACAAAUCACAAUAGAGAAAUUAUAUAUUUUUUGUAUGAAAAGACAAGGACGAAACUGUUCACUGAACUAUAGGAGAUGUGAUAUUCUAUUUCAUGUAAAACGAUAGCUAUCCGUUGGAACUCAGAAGAAGACUACUCAUGUGACUUCCUCACCUAUAUAUCUGAUAUUCUGAUGUACAGUAGCUUGCUUCCUAGGAGUAACAAUAACACUGUUUUCAACAUGUACAGUCCUCUGAUUUUCUAAUUGUGAUAACUACUUGAACCCUCCAUCAGAACUAAGCAGAGAUGAUGGAUAUCGGACUACGCACGACAUGCUCUUCGGACACCCACGCGAGCUGCGCCCCCAAAAUUUCAGACUCCAACGCGCUGCCUGGAGCAGCCCUUUCCAUGGUGACGACAAAACUCGCCUUUUGGUUCACCUCGUCGAACUGCAAUUCUCCAGGAACCACCGUGAUGGAGACCCCGUCCGGUGCACUCACGUCCACCCGGUACACCGACCUGGCCGCUCCGACGUUGGUCACCGUCCGGCUGACCGUCACGGCCGGCCCGUCCACCGUCAGCGCGACCAUGAUCGAUGGGGCGUUGAGAUCUUUCGCCUCGGUGUUCUCCAUCUCGGCGCAAUGAACCGCGGGUGCAGGGUAGAUGAUGCGGUUCACUUGCUCGUCGGUGUAGCCCAGCCCGCAGAGGUAAGGGAUGUACUCUUCCGGCGAGGUGUCGUACACCAGGCCCGGGUCGAUGGCUUUGGCCGCGUCGACGAGGCCGGCGCCCAUGGCGAAGUAGCUCGCCGGCGUGCCUGUCUCGUCCGUCAGCGACGCGUCGGCCGUGGUCAUUAUCGCGGACUUGAUGGCCGCGGGCGACCAGGUCGGGUGGGCGCUCUUUAUCAGCGCCGCCACCCCGCUGAGAUGCGGCGCCGCCAUGGACGUGCCAGAGAGCGACGCGAAGCUUUGGCCGCGCGCCGACCUUGGCACCGCCCCGAGGAUGUCGACGCCGGGACCCACGAUGUCCGGCUUCAUCACGCCGCCGUUGUUGCGGCUCGGCCCCCGCGAGGAGAAUCCCGGGAUGGUAGCGGCGGAACGAGGAGCGCCGCCCUGCUGUGACUGUGAGCUUGCGCCGACCGUGAGUAUCCACGGCGCGUCGUUUGCGACCGACCCAGGCGUGCGUCCCUUGUUGCCCGCCGCGGCGCAGACGAAGACGCCCCUCACGACAGCCGAGAACGUGGCCGCGACGACGGGGUCCUCGUGGAACCCCAGGCCGUCGUCGUCCCCGAGCGACAGCGAGAGCACGUCGACGCCGUCGGCAAGCGCCGCCUCGACGGCGUGCACGACCGAGCCCCUGGAGCACCCGCGCGCCGCGCCCGCGCACACCUGGUAGAACGCGAGGUGCGCGCGCGGCGCCACGCCGGACACCACCACCACGGGGGCGCCAGCAGGCGCGCCGCCCGCUCGGCGCACGAACGCGCCGGCCGCGACGCUGGACGCGUGCGUCCCGUGCGUGCCCGGCCUCGGCGCCGUGCCGGGUCGACGCAGGUGCCGCGUGAAGUCCCUGGCGCCGAUGAGCUUGCUGUUGCACGACGCGACGCCGGCGUGCUUGCACCGGCCCCGCCACCUGGUGGGCGGCGGCGGCAUCCCUUCGUCGCCGAACGACGGGUGCCCCGCGUCGAUGCCGUCGUCGAGCACCCCGAUGAUGACGCCUUCGCCCAUGUUGCUCGUGCUCCACACCGCUUCGUGCUGGCCGCCUUGCAGCGCGAGGGUGUCGUCGUCGUCGUCGUGCAGCGCGGUUGCCGCGAGCAGCAGCUUGGAGGAGAGCACGAGCAGGAGAGCGAUCUUUGAGGAAGCCAUUUGAGAUGGAGAGUGUGCAUUUCACAAGGCCGCUGGAAUGGACGUGAAGAUUGGUGUGGGGGAGGAAGGAGAAGGAGCAGACAUAUAUACGUGCCGAGGCAGUUCGGUGGCGAACAAGCGUUGCCAGUCCUGGGCUAAAACUGAGCUGGCCAAGCAGUUGAGCUCGUAGGUUGUUCAGUUGAAGAAGUUUGACUGUUUGAGCAGGUAGGUCCAGAUCAUCUGUAGCCGGUGGAAAGGAAACCCAGUUGAAACUCUCUGCUUCAACGUUCCGUGCGGUUGGCAGUUGCAACUGGACUGGGCCAUUUUUGGAAACGGCGUCAUCGGACGAACUCGUGCCGUUUCCACAGGCCGUAACCGUGCCUGUCUCUCGGGGAAAUGUUUUUCGUGUGUCCAGAAAUAGAGGGAGAAGCACCGUCCAUUUCACGCUUGUGCUGUUCUGAAGCACCAAUGCGCGCGGCGCCACAAAUGUUACAUCACGAAUCGAGAUUUUUUUAAAAAAAAUGCAAUGGCGUAACCGGAAGGAGAGGCAGCGAUGGAGGACGCGUGCGGGCGCACGACCGCGGCAGUCACGUCCUGCUGGGGCCGGUUCGGCGUGGCGGUGCUGUGGCGCAGGCUCAUCAGGCGCAUGAGCUGGCCCCGCCGGCGGUACCGAACGUACGUCCUCGGCGCCGGCGGCCUCAACUACGACCCGCUCAGCUACUCCCAGAACUUCGACGACGACGGCAAAGUCUGCGAGUGCGAGCCCGGCUUCUUGGCCAGGUACGGCGCCCUCGCGCGGCUCGCCGGCUUGCCGGGGCAGGCGGAGCCACCAUCGAAUCCUUGAGCCGUUUGUGCUUCCAGGCGGAGUUGGCUGAGUUAUGGCACAUCGCAUGCAGCCGCCCCGGCCGGCGCAGCGCAAGUCUCCGGCAUGAAGAGGCAUGGGGUGAUGGGGGCAAGGGGAAGCCCAAGAGCCUCGCAGCCGCCUUCCUUGCAUUCGCGCGGACUUCCGGCGGCGGCGAGGAUAUGGGUUACAUGUAUAAUUUUAACUCAGAUCUCAGAGUAUGUACACAUGUACCUAUACCUACACGGCUACUCGAAGUAUGUUACCAUCAUAAGACUAAGGCGACUAAGGCCUUGUUUAGUUUCUUCCCAAAACCCAAAAUUUUUAUCGAAUAUUUGAACUAUGAAACAUUAAAUAUAAAUAAAACAAAAACUAAUUACACAAUUUAUCUGUAAUUUACGAAACAAAUCUUUUAAACCUAGUUAGUCUAUAAUUGGAUAAUAUUUGUCACAUACAAACAAAAGUGCUACAAUGGCCGUUUCAGAACUAAACAAGGCCUAAACUAUCGCUUACAUAUAUAGGUUUGUUUGUUCCCCUUGCUAAAUUAUCACUUUAGCUAAACUUCCAAACAUAUUAACUAAAAAGAAGCUAAAAUAGUUUAAUCUCACUAGUCACUUUAAGAGUAAUUAAAAUAAUUUUAGCUGGCUAAGUUUAGCAAGGGAACUAAUUAGGCCCUUAGGCUUAGGCUUGCUUCCCAAUCCCAAGUUGCUUGUUUGAUUAGGGAUAUUGAAGUUUAACAGGUACUAUAGUAUUUUUGUUUUAUUUGACAAUUAAUAUCCAAACAACUAAUUAGGCUUAAAAAUUUUAUAAAUAAUCUAUAUUUAAUACUUUAUGUAUUCGAUGUGAUAGUCAGUAAUGUUUAACAGCCCGACCAAAAAGGGCCAGUCUCAGAUUCCCCGGGCCAUGCAUGCAUACACAUGUGGAUACUGAGCAAACAGGAUACAAAACUGGCCAUUGUUUCUAUAUACAAACGAAACUAAAAUACAAAACCAGGUUCCCCAAAGCCCGAAGGGAAGUAUCAAUCACCUUUACCUUUACUGAUAAUACAAAAUUUUCUAUGGCCUAGCUCGAUCUGAGAUUACCCAAAAGAUGUACAAUAUUCUGCAAUCCUAAUACACAACUUUGUUAACAGCACCCAAAAAUUGGAUUCUGCGGUAACUUCAACUAAACCCCUCAAAACCAGGCUCCCCGAAGCCCGAAGGGAAGUACCAACCACCUUUACCUUUGCUGAUAGUACAAAAUUUUCUAUCGCCUAGCUCGAUCUGAGAUUACCGAAAAGAUGAUGCAAUCCUAAUGCACAACUUUGUUAACAGCACCCAAAAAUUGGAUUGUGCGGUAACUUCAACUAAACCCCUCACAGGUCAGACUAUCCCAGAUCCGCAUACCGAUGCCAGUUCUGUACUUGCAGUGUUGCUGCACUGCACCAUCAUCUCAUUUCACGAUCAAAAGCUCCUCGUGGGAACCUCUUGUUCGGGUUCAGAAAACAUUAAUGUAUUGAGAAACUCAUAGGACGUAAAGAAUAUAGCACCUUGAGACAUAUACAUAGCCAGCCUUGGAAUCAAACCCCUGUGAGAAAACAUGUCGCUUGAUAACUUGCGUACUCACAAUAAGGUCUUUUUCAGACAGGAAUGAAUAAUAAUUGAAAUAACUAGCUUGGUAUGCCUCAGGCAAAUCUUUGUACCUGUAAAGACCACAUAAGCCUUCACGCCGAAAAAUUUCUUUUAGUGCAUGAACCACCCCAUCAUACUUGCUAACAGGGUUGAGUGCCUGAUUAUUAACAGAAAGAAAGCUGAAGCAUUAGCUUAGUUAGGAACAUUAGUCUGUUGUUGAAUGUAAGCUAGUUGUCCGUGAUUAUAAUUCUAUUACAAAAAAUAGCCAACAAUAUCCGAUAAACAUCACAAUUAGAAGUCAAUGUGGCAUAUGCAGGUGUCACAGUACCUGUAAUUGCACUCGUGUCUUGACAACAUCAAAUGGCGUUGUACAGAGAGCAGCAGUUGACCCAGCAAAACCUCCACAUAAAAGCUGCAAUGAACCAAAGGGGUGCAAUGUUGGUUUUAUCUGUUGUAUUUGAGAUGCUAGAACAGGUAAAUCAUCAUAUAGAGCUGGCGGUUUCUUAUUUCUUAUUUCUUCUCUUUGAAGCAUUGGCUACCAAUGCAGGAUAGUAUUAGAAAUGCGCACGUUUUCUACUUCAAUUCUAACUAACAAAAACAUUUAAUGGGUGUAUACAUGUGCAAGAAAUUACAAAUGAGAAGGUAAGAGUUAAAAAGGCACAAAGAUAUUGGUGUAUGAAUAAUGGAUGCUAAUAUCAUGCACCUAAAGCAUUAAACCGGAUAGGGUUACACAGGAAGAACCCAGAAGGUCAUCCUUUUCUUUGAACUUGGGCAAUCAAGUGACUGAUGUAAUGUCAAGGUAUGGGCUUUGAGUAGCUGCAUUGGCUGAUACGAAUUCUGGAUGUGUAUGAAAAUCACAAUGCUUCACCUGAAGUCUGUAGGUAAGGUCAGCAGCAUGCAGAAAAAUAGAGGAGUGGCAUGGUUCUCCUUCCCGCAACUAUAAAAGGCGACCCAUGUCAGCUGAAGUAUGAACCAAUGCAGCUACUCAAGCCCAUACCUUGGCAUUAUGCCAGUCACUAGAUUGUGCUAGUUCAAAAUGCAAGGAUGCCCUUCAUUUCUGCUUAGCUCUAUUUGGUUUUAUGCUUCAGGUGCAUGAGAUUAGCAUCAAUUAUUCAGAAGCAAACAUCUUUGUGCUUUUCUUUAACUUAUAUAACUUUGCAUUUGUUAUUUCUUAUUACACAGGUUUACAGGUGGGCAUAAGAAUGAUGCCUUAACAAGGUAAGGUUCAGAAACUAACCGUUUGGCCAGAAUUGAGUUUGGCAUCAUCAGGUGCUGAUUUCAACAGAGACUGCUUCAGACUCUCAUAGGCAUAAAACUAUAAAAUUCAAAAAAGGAAUCAUGUUCUUUAAACACCAGAAACAAAUUACCAAAUUAAAGAAAAAAUUGAAUUAUUGGACUGGAAUGCAAGUACUUCGAUUUUGAUACCUUUACUAUGGAAUGUGGGAUAUUUCUGCAAAGAACAGCACCCCAUCCAGUGUAUAAUGAAGCAAUGCCACCCUUUUUGAGGCAUCCUACUAAAGCAUUCCUGAUGGCAUGAAUCUCUUAUUAGAGGAUGAUGAAAGGAUGACAUCCUACUGAAGCAUUCGUUUUGAAGAUAUCCUACUCAAGCAUUACUCAUGACAUGAAACUAGUAGAUUACUAUAUUUAUGUCUAGAAAUGAAGCUUCUAAAUACAGCAAAUAAACGAAUGAACAGCCCAAAAAGAGGCAAGGAAAAUUCAAAAUGAGUACCAGCAGUUCUGAUAAUGGGAACCCACUUGCAUUUGUUGUUUUAUGCAUUCACUGGGUGUAAAAACAAAGGAUGUUGCAAUACUAGAGCAGCCACCAGCAGCACAAUGCGCAAUUGAAUGAUAUUCCUGUAGAGAUGUUAAUGUAUCAGCAUAAAGAAGAUUGAAUGAUAUACCAUGUAAUGACGACAAAAAAUUCAGCAUAAAACUAACUGAAAUUACCUUUGGAAAAACAGGCAGAAGAGCCCCCUUUACUGUUUCAUAAGUUAAGGUAUAAAUAGCAGAAAUUGGUGCAGAACAAGCAAGUUUGCUAGCAAGUCCUCCAUAUAGCCCCAUAACACCUUUACUAAUCAUCAAGCACUAAAUUAAUAUAGAAAAUUAUAGUUCUCAAAGGGUAACACAUAGAAAUUGGAAAGAAAAUUUAGGUUGUGAAAAUUGCUCUCAUUGAGCAUUACCUCUCUCAACAAGUGUGCGCCUUAGUGUAUGGUAGACUGAACUUUGUCCACAACUGUUAGCCUGAAUUAUCGUUUUCACAGUAUCAAUUGGAUGCAAAGAAACACUGACUGCUGUCCCAGCUAAUGCUCCUGACACAGCAUGCCUAUUUACGGUAACAGCACCAUCAAAUUGAUGCUGAAAAGUUGGUUGGAGCUCUUGUGAACACUUGUCAACAGAAAGCUGCAGACACACAUCAUCCCUACUAGCACAUUCAUCUGCAUUUGCUGAAUUAAGAACAACAGCAUCACCCACCAGACAAGACAUGUGUUUUGAUUCGUCAAGCUGAUCAUCUGUGCAUGCCUCACUGAAAACCUGAUUCCCUGGCAAUAUCCUCACCUCUUUGGCAAUUUCCAUUUCGUGAACUGGGCAAGCUAAAAAAAUAGAAUCUUCUUGAAAUUUUUCUAGAUUGCAUUCAGUAUUGUGUCGAGAACUUUCACAAUCAUGUGUACUGCUAGUUUCUUCAUUUGAGAUAGUAAAUAGCUCAUUAGGCGUGCUUCUUCUUUGAUUCGAAUAGCUACUAAUGUCUAUAUUGUUGGAACCAGCACAAAUUUCCUCACACAUGCUUCUUUUGCUAUUCUCAGAAGUCCCAAUUUUUUCCAUCUUUUCGGUUUGCAUAGAGUAUAUAGUUCCAAAUUGCAAAUAAUCUGCACCUCCAACAUUAUUUGUGGAAUGCAUAUGCCUCCAUGUGAAUGAUGCACCAACAAUGCUAUUGAAUGGUGUCAGCAUUAACAUCUUCUUCUUUACCGAAAUAAGAUCCUCAUAAAUUUCUUUUGGUGUAGACAAAAAGUUUUGAGAUCUCAAACCACUUGAGCUUUCCACACGGCAAGGUGUCAGUAUAUUUCCUUGUUGAUCCCUGCUAAAGCACACAGGAUCUUCCCUACUCGAAGUCCCAUGAAUAUCAGAUCUUUGAGUUGUGCCAGAUGAUUCAGGCUGGCCAACAAGAUUCCAGAUUCCAGUCAAUGCAGAUACAAACUGGGGAGUGGUCAAUCUUCUGUAAGCAUAUGUUCUGCAAGAUUGAGAACUUUGCCUUGAUUGAUGAUUGGCAUCUCGCUCCUUAGUAAUCAAAGCAUCUGGCUCAAAUAAAUGGUGCUCAUCUAAUGAAAACCUGUGGUAAUUGAUUGUUGACUUUGCCGCUUUUGAAGCUCGGCGUGUCGAGUUCAUCUUUAACUAGCUUGCAAGGUAGUAAGUAUAUCAAAAAAAGAGAAUGUCCAACCAAUCAGCUGCUUGAGAUCUGCAGGGAGCAAUAAUGAACAGAGGGUAUUUAGCUCACUGAAGUAGUUCUCUCGAAGCAAAGUCAUUUGAGACUUUCAGUGGCUACCAAACGGAGAAUAUAGCUAGCAAGUAGUUUCUGAUAGUAGCACCCUCACCCUAGUAAGACCGAAUGUCAUGGGCAUCAGCAAUCUACAAAAACAACCGAGCAAGCAGAAGCAAUCCAGUUGCUCGAAUAGGAUGACAAGCAUCUGAAAGCUCAGAUAAAUAGAGAAAAAAAUCACGGAAACUCCGAAUCCCCGGUACUCUGCUAUUCGGGGCAUUUCUCCGAACACACCGUGUGCGUCCCCGAGCGUCUCAUCCCCCACAUACGCGAGCUAACAAUAUUACUCGAUUCGAUACGAGUGGGCACUCGAACGCGUGCGACCAUUCGAGUUGGGAUCCGAGGGUGCUUACCUCGAGAUGACAGCGAGCGAGCUCCUGUCGGUCGCGGGCCACGCUUCACGGGGACGAGGAGGAGGAGAAGGGCCGCGUUCUGCAUCUCCUCCGCCUCCGCCUCCCCCCUCCUACUCAAAUGGCAGAGAGGUUUAUGCCGUCGUGGGAGCCUGGUCUCGCGUCCGCAGCAUCUCCAUCUCCAUGACUCUUCUUGCUCUGCUGUUCUCCAGCUCUUUCGAGGAAUCGAGGCCGGCGGCGCAGUCGGUGGGUCAGGGUCUUCGGUUCUUCCCUGCAGGUCCCAGCACGUGCUUGCGGUAACAUCGGACGGCUAGGACUGCGCCCUGUUGGCUCGAGAGCCGAAUUUGCCAGCUUUUAAGUUGGGUUUUUUUCUCACAGCAAAUUAACAAAAAAAUACUUUCAGAGAUGACUUUUCAGCUAAAUAAAUAUAGUAUCUUAAAUAAUAUAGUAUACAAAUACUAUGCAAUCCUAAGUUUUCAAAUAAAAAACCAUAGUAUUUUUUUUAAAUGCAACCCUUGAUGUUGAAACACUCUUUCUCUCCUUUUUCUCUUCUUCUCCAUCUCCAACGGUUUUAGAAUAACUUUUUUUAAGACAACCAAGCCAAAUAGUGACCAAAGAGACGGAGACGGUGGUGAUGAUGACACCAUUUUGAGUGGGCAGAGGGCCAGAUCAAGGACGGAGGCGACCAUAGCAAUAACGAUAACACGAAGAGGGGAGAGAAGGAGGUUGCCACGAGUGUGAUGUGCGGUGGGCGGUGGGUGGUGGCAACAUGUUAGGAGGAGGAGGAAGCUACCAAGAAAAACACAGUAGUUUCAUGAGACCCAAUUCCAUUUUCGCAGUCGUUCAUGCGAUUCAACCGUGGUGAAUGAGAGAACGCGCCUGCAUGGACUCAACAUUCCCUUUUCGUCCCAUUCAUUUUUUGUCCUUCUUUUUACUCGUUCUCGAAUAUAUUCCCCCGUGACAUGCAGAAAUCCAUACAUGUGCUGUAUGCUGAUCAGAUUCAUUCCAUGGCAAGACACCUGCACAAACAUUUCCUUUUUCUUCCUUUCAUUUUUUUUCUUUUUACAAUUUUUUAUUUUACCAUUUUUUACAUUUACAUAUUUAUAAGCUAUACUACACCGUUAUUUUCGUUCAUAAUUUCAUAUUUCUGCUAAUAUGUUAUGAUGCAUCUAAGUGCUUAAAUAUAACUUAUACACUCCAACUUUACAUCUAAGUUACUCCUUUUAUCCCUAAAAACUUUAACUUCAAAUUGUCCUAAGUCAAACGUUUAAAAUUUUAGCCAAAUUUUUAGAAAAAACGCUAAGAUUUAUAGUACCAAAUUAAUAUCAUUAGAUUUAUCAUAGAAUAUAUUUUCAUAGGUUACUCAUUUUAUGUCAUAAUUAUUGAUGCCGUUUUGUAUAAAGUUAGUCAAACUUAAAAAAGUUUGACUAGCAUAGAUUUUAGGAGUUGAAGCUUUCAGGGACAAAGAGAGUAUUCAUCAAGUCAUAUAUCUAAGUUAUAUAAACAAGUUAUGAUAAUAUAAAAUAUCAAUGUUAACAUAUACAUAUGAAUUUAUUCAUCUAACUUAUAAGUUAUAUAAGUAAGUUAGUAAGAUAAGUUAUCAAUGUUGACAUGUGUAAAAUUUAUUCAUCUAACUUAUAAAUUUGUAUAAAGAAGUUAUUAUAAUAUAUAAGUUAUCAAUGUUGACUUAUAAUAUAAGUUUGUUCAUCUAACUUUUACCAUAUAUAUAAAAAAUGUUUGUGCAGAUGUUUUGCCACCACCCAAUUCACGCGUAAUAAAAAAGGAAGCAAAUCAACGGAGCGCGCAUGCGUAAAAGGAAGCAAAUUAUAGUAAGUAAACAUACAGGCGUAUUAACUCCUAGAAUAGCCGUGGGGCUCCUCCAAAGAACCGGUGGCCACGUCUUCCAAAAUGAUGCUGCCCGUUUGAUUUUUCAUCUUGUGGUCCAUAAUAAAUUCUAGAGCUGAUUCAGUUGAAUCUGUUUUGAGUUAAUUGGUUCUCUGAUUUUCUAUGUUUGUGUACAUUCGUCUCUUGUCUACUGAGGCCUUGUUUAGUUCCCCAAAAAUUUUGCAAAAUUUUUCAGAUUUCCCGUCACAUCGAACCUUUAGACGUAUGCAUGGAGUAUUAAAUAUAGAUAAAAAUAAAAACUAAUUGCACAGUUUGGUUGAAAUUGACGAGACAAAUCUUUUGAGCCUAGUUAGUCUAUAAUUGGACAAUAUUUGUCAAAUACAAACGAAAGUGCUACUAUUCCUAUUUUGCAAAAUUUUUUGGAAGUAAACAAGGCCUGAUUCUGGUUUCCUGGCUUCGGCUUUGCUGCAGCUUCUUGGGCCUUGUUUAGUUCCCAAGAAAUUUUGCAAAAUUUUUCAGAUUCCCCGUCACAUCGAAUCUUUAGACACAUGCAUGAAGUAUUAAAUAUAGAUAAAAAUAAAAACUAAUUGUACAGUUUGGUCGAAAUUGACGUAACGAAUCUUUUGAGCCUAGUUAGUCUAUGAUUGGAUAAUAUUUGUCAAAUACAAACGAAAAAGCUACAGUGUCGAUUUUGCAAAAUAUUUUGAAACUAAACAAGGUCAGCUAAAAAGGUGCUUGCCUCAUUGAUGGCGGUCACUGUUCUACCAAAUUGGCCGGGGUCCACACCUACAGGAAAAAGGGGACACACUGACCCGCUGUUACUUUUAUCCCUUUCGUCUUCCUGGCCUCUGCUUGCUGUGUUUAUUUCCUCGGCGCCGUCGCUUCCACUGUUUUCCCCUUUCGUCUGAGCUCGGCGGAUCCACGCUGUUCGUGUCCUGUCCGUUGUUGCUUUCGUUCUUUGCUUUGCCUUCUUCUGCCCGGCCUACUGUGUUGCCUUGGCGUGGCCGCCGUAUUUGCUGUGUCUGUCGGAUUCACCAUCGCUGAGCUCGCCGUACCACGGUGGGGGCUUUGCCCUUGCCGCCGUGGGCCUAUCUGGUGUUCGUACACUUCCUUCUACUUCCAGUUCUAUUGCUAUGUUCGCUUUAUUCUUAGGCUUCUUCUGCUCACAGGAUGCGGUCUUGUUGUUUCAGGUUCGUUUCGUCUGUGUGCCAGAUCCAGAUGACUUCGGCGUCUGCCCGUUGGUGUCUGUCGUUCUUGCUGGGUUGUUAGCUUCUUUGGUUUCUGUUCGUUGGUCAGGUAAUUUCUAUCUCUUUACAUUGGACAGGUUUGAUGUGCUUAUGUUUGCUUUCAUAUAAUGUAUUCGAUGUAUUAAUGUGUUGUUCUAAUUUCAUAUAUGUUGCCGCUUUUACCCUUCUUCUGUGCUUGGUGAUUAGUUGGAGCUACCCAAAAUUUAGGUCACCGUACUUUAUGGAUUCAGUGUCGUACACGACUUACUUCAGCAUUGUUUACUUAGCAGGGACAUCCAUAGCAUUGCUUUCGGUUACACAACCUUGCUUAUCUGCAUUACAACGAGCACCACCGAAGACCUGCAGCUUCUGCAGUUUAUUAUAGCAUGAUGGCAUCAAGUCUAGGGCAUGGUCUUUGGGCAGGUUUAUUACCUGAAAAUUGGGAAAAAGAUGUUUGCGAAAGAAAUUUUGGGAUAUGUAGGUUCAUCUAAAACAGCCACAAUCCAUUUAGUUGACAGCUAAGUUGUGCCCGACCUUUUUUUUCCUUUGUUCUCCAAAUUAAAAAAAAAGAGUAUUGUGCGUCAUCAGCUCAUGUCUUUGUGCAUCGUUUAUGUUAGCUAAAUUGUGUUGUGUUUUCUUUCCAUUCGUCAUUGCCUGAGGUCAUACAAAAAAUUGCCUUGCCUUAUAUUGCCUUCUUAUGUUCUGUCGCUACUGUAGGGCUGUCGAUGUUGUCAUUCUGUUUGUCUUUGUUGUAGUUGGUGUUUCGUGCCUAAUACUGUGUUCCCAUGCUUUCUCACCAGCUUACAGGCUUGGUUUCUUCGGUUUGGUUAUUGUUUAUUGCUUGCAUCAUUUCAGCGCUGCGGAUUGCCUAGGUAAUUCCUGCCUCUUCUUUUAAUCACCUCUGUGCUUAUCGUCUUAUGCCUUUGUUUUACUCUGCUAACUGAUGCACGCCACUUCCUGUCUGUUUUCCUUUCCUUCUUCCUACUAAAUAGUUAGCAUCAGACAUGAAUAGUCGAUGAGGUCACAGUUUUGAAAUUCAUCCUUUAUACACUGAUGAGUUUUUGCUAAUUUGCAUCAUUGUUAUGCUGCUCUUAUCUUUUGUAACUCCUUUGAUUAUACAACUGCCAUUCGUGGGCUAUAAUUUUGUUGCGCUGAAUUUGUGCUUGGUUCAUAAGUAGUUGCAGGAAACAUUUAGGUCUAUCAAUAUCCAUUUCUAAAAUUCAGAGAUACAUACAGACAUAUAUGCUUCACUUCAUAGGAAACAUUCAGGUGUAUCAAAUUUGAGACACUCUAUCAUUGCAGACCACAUGAGGCAUAGAAGCUCUUAAUGCCCGCGCGCUCACUCAAGCCUAAAUUAUCUUCCAAACCAUACAUGGAUACCUCCACCAUGUAGACCUGAAGCAGCUAACGAUGUCAUACAUGGUCCAGCUAAUUUAUGUAAAAAGCACUAGACUGUAGUAUCAGCUGUUACAACUUUUGUAGUAUGUCACAUUGGUAUUAUGGUGUGCAUAGGAUCCAUAUAUAUUAUGUUGUUGCUAUGUAUGCACUACUAAUAUAUAUCAAAAUGUAUCGUUGUGCAUGUGUUAUCCAUGCACAACAGAAUCAAACUUAUAUAUGUAUGCUCUCUAAAUAUUUGUUACAAGUAGCUAGGACUUAAUAUCUCUUUAGUCCCCAAUCAAAAGAAAUUACAGCUUCUCAUUCUUUCUUCACACAAAAUUUCAGAUUUUUUUUGUAAACUUAAUUAGAAGAACCUACACCAACUCAACAGGAAGACUAUGAAGCCCAUAGCCCCAUACUGUAUAGCCCACUUAAAAAAAAAAGUUGGUCCUAUAGGCCCAACAAAGUAAAUAAAAAAAGGACACAAAAAAGGCAAAAAAAAGAUAGAACUUUGAAGAGGCUCCUAGAAAUUAGGUGAGCACACUGACAACAUUAACUCAUCCCCACUUCUCCCUCAUCCAGACACUCCCACACAUACACCUCUCACUUCGGCGCCAUCACCAGACCCAUCUUCUUCACCAAGUUAUCCAACUCCGCCCCCUCUGCUACCCACCCACUGGCCUCCAUAGCUAAUCAGCACCACACCUAAAAGCACCCUGUCCAAUCCACAGUCACAUAGGAUAGGCGAAGCAAGAUUGUUGCCUGCACAGGAUAUCAACAUUGCAGCUCCAAUCUCUAUCUCUAUCCACGUGGCACCAUGGCACCAAGAAUGUACUGCGACAACGCCUCAGUCCACAUUCUGUACACUUGAAUCUACAAGAUCGUCGCCGUGCACAAGGUAUAAACAACUGAGCCUUUAACAUUUCAAAAUUUAAUCUGUAUUCAUUUCUAAUCUAAAGAAACUAGAUCCGUAAUAUACAGAUCAAAGGUUGUUUUCCCUUUUUGUGUUACCCAUGAUCAAACCAAAUAGACCACAGGUUUAGACUUUUAUUUCCUACUAAUUUUAGCAGAAACCUGGCAAUAUAUGCUUACAUUACUGUACUAAAAACAAAAUGCAUACAAAACUCAAUCUACAACACACAUUUACUUAUGUCACAGCACCGUAUAUUGACCUGCAACUGAUGCAAAAUUUAUUAGUGACCACACUUAAUACUAAUGCGAAUUACGCAUUGCCAUCAGCCUCUUAUAUCAGUAAAAACAUAUGCACUUUCUCUCUUAGCUAACACAUAUAAAAGCAUUGCUUAUUCAGAAAUAGUUGCAAUACAUUUACAGUUGUUCAGUAGAAACACUAUUGUUUGAAAAAGACACUUUUCGUUCUACAUCACAUUGCUCCUUAACCAAAAUGAACAAACAUGUAGGUCAAAGAAACAAGAUGCCAGCAUACCAGUACCCCAAUCUCACAAUAAUUGAAGAAGGACAACUUCAACGGGACGAAAGAGAUGUGUUUCAGGCUGCGGUCAUCUUCGAAGUGCCACCUUCGGCGAUGCAUAUUAUAGGACACGAAGAAAUCAACAACGCAAUACAUCAACAACUUCGGGUCGACAUAAAUGUACAAGACAUAUCAAAGUUUGGCUCUAAUUACUUCAUAAAGACUAACUGUCAACAGACAACUGCCCCGAUGCUACAGCACACCUUCCUCAAAGUUGGCUCACACACACUAACACUUAAACCAUGGAACCCAUAUUACAACGCCAUCAUAUUUCCUUGUGAGACACAGACCACCAACCUCAGAUUCACCAAUUUGGCCAAUUCUUCCCAGAGAACGCUAACUGUUCAGAUUUCUGGAAUACCGCCGCAUCUCUGCUGUGAUUUCACAGUGAACCGGCUCCUCAGUGAAAUAUGCACUAUCCAUACCAUUUCAUUUGAGCCCGCGACACUAUCACUCAAUUGAUGUGCAUGGAUCACAAACUCUCAUGCCUCAAGCAGCACAUGUAGCACUUAGCAAGACACCCAUGGUCCUCUCCUCAACAUUUGGCCAAUAUGGUACGACACAUAUGUACAAGAAAUGCUUGGCCAACUAUCCCCGACAACCUAUGAUUGGAUGCCAUCUUUACACAUGGAGGUACUGACAUCCCCAUAUAUUUUCAGCAGCUUAUAAAAGAAGAACACCUCUCUUUUUCCUGACCAUCUUCUACUUCACCAUUUACAGGUGACACGGAUCUGGACACAUAGCAAAGACAUGAAGCAUGACUCAGGUAUCCAAAAACUAAACAACUGCACUCAUAUAUAGGUGAACAGAACGAAGUUAACUCUCAGCCAUGAGGUAAGUAGAUUUACAUUACAUUACCCGUACAACUAACGCUGCUAACAUUCCACACUAACUUAUAACGGUAACACUCUGUUCAUAAUCCUCUAUAGGCGGAACGCCACACAAUCCGGAUACAGACUCAUCCAUUAGCAUUUCAAGCGAUGACGAACACGGAUGGGAAUCAGAUUGAAGCAUAAACAUUGGUUGAUGCUGGUGCUUUGGGAGAAGCAACCAAACUGUAAAACCCAGAGCUCUCUUUCCGUGUGAAAUAUUUUUGUAUGUUAUGUAAAGUAAGGACCUAACAUCUUAUGAUGCUUUCGUAUGGUCAGCACAAUCAACAUGUACUAAACUUGUUUCAAAAAAAUAUACUAAACCUGAUAACUGCUAAAGUAUGUAGUAGUCCUCUCUAUAUAUAACCAUAUCGUCUAUAUUAUCCUUCCGUACCACCAUGGCUGACUCCACGAUUGUCUGUACUCGCGCGCAAAUGCGCGCGUCGACCACUAGUUCUCCCCUAAAUUCUCCGACGGCUUCCAGGAAGAGAAGCAGGUGCCACGUCGCCUGGAAUUCUCGUGUCCGUCGGAUUUCCCAACGGAUGGCCACGGUUCUUCAAAGCAGAUUGUUCCGGAAGCCGAUUCCGCUGCUUCUCGCCAGAUUCUUUCGCUUCUUACCUGCUUCCGCCGCUUCUCGUCCGAAUCUAUAUAAUCAAAUAUAUAGGCCAGCUUCGGCUUCUCCUACCCGCUUCUCACCCCUUCCUCUCUCCUCUUCGCGUCUCUCCCCGACGCUGGCAGGAGCGAUGGCGGCUCCCGGGACCGGGGCUCGACGGCGGCGCCCACCUUCCUCCUCCUCCUCCGUUCCUCCCUCCUCGCCUGCUUCGCACCUCCGUUCCUCCCUCCCCUUCAUCUCUCUCUCCCUCCCUCCCGAGGUGGCGGCGGGCGCGAGGUGACGGGCUGACGGCGGCCCUCGCGGGCAGCGCUCCGACGCGGCUGUGGCCCGGCGGCCCCUCCCUCUCCCUCAGCCUCCACGCGGUCUCCUCGAUGCCUCCUCCCGCUGGGGAGCAUCAGCAUGUGCUUCUGUGCUCGACGAAACCCUAGCACAUGCAGCUGUGCAGGCGCGGCGGCCCCUCCAUGGGCACACCUCGACGCCGCGUCAGUCUGCGUUUCUUCCUCCAGGUACGCCCACCCUUUCUCUUCCCUUCCUGCUGUUCGAAACCGAGCACCCAGACCCUACCUCUUCAAUCUCUGAUAUGAUCUAAUUACAACGUAUUGUGCUUACUAAUCUCAGUGUUGUUUCAAUUCAGCUGUUAUACGUGCUAUUGCCUAUGGAUCAAUAUGCAUGCAAUUGACAGUACUCCCUACGGAUCAAAUAUACAUGCACUUCAGAAAUUUAAAGGUGAACCAUUUAAUCACUUAUUUAAAUGGUGGUUCGAUCCAAGAUUUUUGUUUUUGGUGUUGGUAGUUUUUCAGAGCCUUGCAAUAUUCAGUGCCAGCAGCUGCACAAAAUCUUUCCGAACAAAUGCUAUCUCAUAAUAAUAAUAAUGAGGAUCCCUGCACAUAGUCAGAGAGUAAAACCUUUAUGUCAUUCCAAAUUACAAGGCACUAUGAUAAAUAAAAGUAAAUCUUUUAAAUUUGGCAUUGCUAUACCGGAACGAAGACUGCACGAAUCGUGCAUGUGGUGAAUUCAUGCCUUUCAUCUCUACCUGUCUUUUGUGCUUCUAUAAUAUCCUUAAUUCUCCCUUACAAUACCUGCCCGAUUCCUCUUGGAGAAGCCUGGUCCAUGUCACUCCUAAUAUUUUCAGCUGCUAGAUCUUCGAUCGUGUGUCCGCCGUUGUUUGGAGCGGAUUCGGAUGAAAGCGGCUUCUGCUGCUCCGUCCUUGCUUCCAUUGGCUUUCCUCGCUUUUGCCACGCGUGGGCAUUUUUUCGCUCUAUGGUUACAUAUAUACAAUAAUUGCUUCUUUAUUGAAUUAGGGUUCAUGUUGAUUCAACUUGGUCAUUGUGCUGCUGUUGGAGCUCAGGACAUGCAUCAUUUGCGCAGGGAUAUUCGGUUUAGUAUGUGGCAUUUCUAUUCUAUGUGAUAAUUUGAUGUUUCAAAUAGCACGUCCUUAUGUAGAUAUGCACUGAUUGUUUCUUAGCAGGAUCACCUCCAAACAAAUUAGAUCAGCGAUCUUUUUUUGUCACUUUGAUUUAUCCACCACUCUAAAUUGAUUUAGCACCUGAGCAAGUUGUCAAUGACAUGUUAGUUUCAGGUGAGAACAUUGUUCCUCCUAUUCUUUGUGAUAAUUUGGUGUCUCAAAUACCAUGUCCCUAUGUAAAUAUGUAUUAGCUGUUUCUUAGCAGGAACACCUCCAAACAAGCUGGAUCAGUGAUCUUUGUUUUUGUCACUUUGAUAUUUGUCCACUGCUCUAAAUUGAUUUAGCUCCUUAUGUAAUGUGUAUAUCUGUAUGCAGGAUUCUGCCUAGGUUAGUGGAGGACUUGGCGGACGGUAGCAUUGACUAAAAUUUGCCCAAUUUUGCCUAGGUACAACCAUCUUCCAGCUUACUUCAUUUCUCUGUUAUGUGCAAAAUAACGUAGGAUCAGGUUGUUCAGUCAAGUGUUAUGCAUGCUAUUGCAGUUAUUGUUUCAGCCCUGCUCUGCUUUUUCCUGGUUGUGUGCCUACUCCCACUUCAGUUUGUGCAUACAUAAAUUUGCAUGUACAUAAAUAUGGAUCUAAAAUCCCCACAAUGACGUGUAUAUUUUCUUGUGUCAAAAGUGUUUUUCUCAUACCAGAUGUCAUUUAACCACUGAAAGGCAUUACAAAAGGAACAACAAUGUAAUAUUAUUUUUGUUACUAUUUGGACAGUUGUAUAUCUCAUUGAAUGACAACCCAACCUACUGAGCUCUGUUCAAGCUGUCAAACUUGCAACAUCUUCUCCUAUCGACCAACGGUGAUGCCACCAUACUAAAAAUUAAUGACUUUGGGUUUGCCAAGUGAGAGCAGUAUGCCCCCUCAUUAUUGCAUUAGUAUUUAUCGAAGCAUAAUUUUUUUUGCCUCCUCCACCAAAUGUCAUAGAUUUUAUCAGGAUUUGUCACUGGGACGAUGUUUCCCACCUGAUUUUCCUCCAUCUAUCCAACUAAUGGGCCUUCCUUGCUCCUGUGUAUGCAGGUUAUGGGCAGAUAGAAGGGUUUGUUUGCUGUUGGAAUUCUGUACAGAUCCUAUCUCCUACAGUGCAUCAAACAAAAAAAAGGGUCAGUCUUCAAAUUACUUGCCUAGGUCGUACCAGUACUAUCUGUGAUCUUGAGUAUUGUAUAAUUGCUUCAUUCAGUUAAGAUAUAGCAUCUUGUGUUAUUGGUUUCUCCAUUUGGUUGUGGGCAUGGUAUUCUCCUUUUAGGUUCAGCUAGCAAUAGAUUGUUGCUUGAUUAUCACUGUCUUCGAGUAUGGAUUCUUGAUGAUGCAGUUCCUUUUUAAAAAUUUCAUGUCUAUUUAGUUAUUUUUAUGUAUGGAAGCCACUCAUAUGUUUCAGGAAUAAAAAUGCAGUGCCAUGGCUUAAGCAGCUAUUGCACUCUAUGAAACAAACCAUUUAAUUAUUUUCUUACACCUACAUUAUAUUAGGUUGUCUAAAUUUAUUUAACAAACAUAAUUGCUUAGCCUAAUUAUUGUUGCUCACAAGCGUUACCUUUAGUUCUCUGGAGCUAUUUAGUUACACGUGUCUAUAGUACAGCUUUGUUUUUCUCCAUAUGUGCUUCCUGCAUUAUUCUCCUAUUCAACUAGGAUCGGGUAUGAUCCAGGAUGCAGGCUCUUAAUAAGGCAUAUGCAGAUUUUUUUUAAAAAAAACAUAGGCAUAUGCACAAUGUGUCAAUUACAAUUUCGUUUUCCUUUUUGUUUGUUUGUUUGUGGUGGUCGACUCCUGCUUGGCAUGCAUUUUGAUUCACAGAAGAUUGCAUAGUGCUAUUUGUGAGGCCUAAGGUUUAUCGAAUUUGGGAAGUGCAGAAGCGAAAUUUAGCAUUGGUUUUCCUUUUGGUUUGAUUAGUGAUCCGCUUUUGUUGUGCAUCACUGGCCUUGCAAGAUCAAGUCUAUGAAAUUCUUCAUGCAUGUUUACAUGUCUUGUAGUUAUUAUACACCUAAAUUUAGUAUACUCAGAUUUUUCUUUGUAUAUUGUAGCCUGCAUUUCUUAAUACUUAGACUGUUUUUACCAACCCACAAAAUCCUGAACCACUAUUAUUUACUAAGAGCCUAAAAUCACAGGCACUGGAAUCUUCAGCUCGUAAUGGCUGAAUGGAGGAAAAGAAGUAAUCUAGAGCGUAGGCGUCCGUAUUCAACAACGAAGGCACUAAGCUCAUUAUGCUCGGUUUUCUUUUACACUGUUCUUGCAAGGAUAGCUUUUGCAAACUUUCCUGUUUACACUGUUCUUCAUGUUGACUUAUGCUUUAGAUUUUAUUUGUAUUUUUCACCUUCUAUAUGUUGUGUCGUUCACUUAUGGCUGUAAAAUAAUUUUCUACACUUAUAGCCUUUGCUGGCUCAGAUAAAUUUUUGUUGCACGUUACUGCUACAUGAACUACUUUUGCUUUUAAUCAUAGGGUUAACUAACCUCCUUUCCUUUCCUUUCCAUCUUACAAUAAGUUUAGGUCCAACACAUCUAUGCCAGCUUCACAUUUUCCUAUGAGUUCCAAUUUUUCACUGUAUUAGUUUUUCUUUAUGGAUAUCAACCUCAACAAUUGCCUUGGUGCUUAUUAUUCUGAACACUUAGGAAGUCUCAUCCAUCUAUAGUCUGCCUACAUCAUUUUCUUAUACCUAUUAGCAGGCAACUAUAUUUAUAGCAAUCAACUUGCAGCAUGUUUUUUUAUUUCCUUGAUGUCUCAACUUAGUGCCCAAGAAAUCUGUGUCUUCAUUUAUGCAGUUACAAUUCAGUUCUACCUUGUUUUUCUAACCACUCAGCGCCCUUCUUCCUUAGGUGACGAUGUAAAGGGUUAAUGAAGAUGGGAGAUGCAGAGGCGUCAGUCCGUGUGUAUGAUAAGGCGAACUUCCUUGGCCCAUUUUUUUCAGAUAAUGGCUUGGUUAACUUUGAGAAGAAAGAUUCCUAUGUACAGCUUUCACUGUCCCUAAUCUCUUCAAAAUGUUACCAACUUAUGUAACAUACAUGGCUUCAAACAUAUAUGUACGUGGCUUCUGUUAUCAGCAUGUAAACGCAUCAGAGGCUAUGCGUGUGUAAUAGACGCAUCCUGUACAUGUAUAUCUCUAGGAUCAUUAUCUUGUUACGGACAACUUGCAGUAUUUACUGACUCACGCGCGCGAUGGCGCGCGGGUUGUACUAGUAUAUGUUUCUUUCCCCCGCCACGAAAAGGAAAAGAGGUGAGGCGCACGAUUUCCAAAACGCUGCGUGUUUUAUAGACAUUUGACUGAUAAGUUAUGGCAGAAAGUACUGUUGGCUGAUUUAUUUAUGAGUGGCAGAUUCGACUGAUAAGCUCAAGCGAACAAGGUGGUCAUAAUAGGAAUAGAUCCAAACCCCAAUGCCUGAUUACUGAAUGAGAUUAGCAGCAGCUAUUGUUCCUCUCUUAUUUUUGCUGAAUGAAUUUCUUUCUUUUAUUUUGUGUAUGCACACAUGUUUUGUAUCUGUGCUGCAUGCCUGUCAAAUGAACAAUAAUAAAACCUUAAUCCUCGGUAUUGAAAUCAACCUUUUUGGUACACUUUGAUGGCACAAAGAGCAUCUGCCAGCUCUAUCUGUUAACAAAUCCAAAAACCGUAUUGACCCACAGGCCACAGUUCAAUCUGGAUUCUGGCACCGCCACCAACAAAUGCGAGAACACACCCGCCACCAUAAGCAAACGCGCAGCCUCGUUUUCACAAAGCACCUGACGAACAUCUAUUUCAGUAUCUCAUCUCCCAGCGCCGGGUUUUCAGUCUUCACACCUCUUUCUCGGGGCUUGUCCAUGGUUCCACGCCCAGCGACUGCAGAAGAAGAAGAAGAGCCUCCUCCACGGGAUCCUCGGCAGCGUGAAGUUCAGAAACAACCCGUACCACCCCGCGGCGCUCGUCUGCUUCGUCGGCGGCGCAGGGCACCGCACGCAGUCUCUCGACUGCUCCAGGCUCACCUGCAAUUUUUUUUUGUCGCCAUGGACGUACGUGUUCAGCUGCAGUAUCACAUUGAUGCGCCGGGGUGAAAGUGAAACGAGUGUACUCGUCCUGUGCGUGCUUACGCUGGAGAUGAACUUGAGGCCCAGCUUGAGCACGCCCUUGUACGUGCCGUCCUCGAGCACGACGUUGUACGCCGCCGGCUUCAUCUGCAGGAACUCCAGCUCGCUGCCCUCGCUGAUGAUCUCGCCGACGUACACCCUGCAAAUUAAUUAAGCGUCGACGUGUUCCCGAGCGAUGUUUAUGUCUCUCUCUCUCUCUCUCUCUCUCUAUAUAUAUAUAUAUAUAUAUAUAUAUAUAUAUAUAUAUAUAUAUAUAUAUAUAUAUAUAUAUAUAUAUAUAUAUAUAUAUAUAUAGAUGCAAUUGUUGCAGUGUUAGUUGUGUGCACGGCGUAUAGUCGUACUUGGUUUCGCCGACGGCGGUGUCUUCUAUGAACUUGUCCAUCUCCAUGAUCGUCAGUUUAACCUUCUCCAGCUCCUUGCGUUCGGUGUCUGACAGCGCGAACCUGAACUUCUCGUUCCACCAAAUCCUUUUACCCCUACCUGCAGCAAAUCACCAUUGCCAGCUCUAAGAGAACUCAUCAGGCACUCCACUGUUAGGAUUUAGAACUAAUUAACACACCUAUUACAUGUACUACUAUAUUAUCAGCAAAUAGGAAUUAAUUCAUACCUUGUGUGAUUUUGCUCGUCACAAUCUUGUCCCCGCACUCAAUGGUCACGUAAUGUCUUUUUGAUCCUGGAAACAACAAAGAUCAGCUGCGCGACGAGUCUAAUCAUAACGUUCUCAUAAGAAAUUGAGCUUCUGAAUCUGAAAAUUGCAGGAUGGUUGGUUGUCACAGACGUCGCGGGUGGUGGUGAGCAUGCUUGAGGCCCUCGGCGCUGACCAACAGGAGUUCCAAGACGCCUUCCCGAGGCUCCAUGGAGAAGGGAACGAAGAGGCCAUGGAAUGGAACAAGCUGAAAUUUAUAGUUGCGCGCUCAGGAGAGUUACUCGUGAAACUCCUACGAGCAAUCAAACACGUUUAACAGCGCCAGGAGUUUCAACAGCGUGUACCUUAAGAGGAACAACGCUUAUUAAACAAGUCAUUAACAUGCUAACCCAAAAUUGGAUUUUUUUGUCUACGUACUUAUAUAGAUCUACUUAUAUGGAGUCAAACAAAAUUGGAUUUUAUAUUUUACUUUUUUUUCUGAUGAUUUUUCAAAAUUUAGCCGAAAUAAUUAAAAAAGAAAAAGACAAAAAUAAUGUUACUGUAGCAAAAACACUAUUUACAGUAGUAAAACCGUCUUUGAAACCGCUCCAGAGAGCUAAAAAAUACAUGGUUUAAAAAGUUGAUGGAGGUGGUUUGUCCAAUUUUGAAAUUGAGAAAAAAAACAGAUUUUUGUGAAAAUUAAUGGAGGAAAAGUAGAUUUUUUUUUCAAAGGGAACUAUUUGUCCCAAUCUGCCAAUCGGCCUUUACCGGUCGGUCAGCACAAUUCCAUUGUUACGGUCGUUCAGUAGUUUUGAAUCUAGUGAACGAUAUCCAGCGAAUGAUACAUGCCGGCCGCCCACCCUCCUUCCCCCUCCUCCUACUUCUCUUUGUGCUUGACGUCAUUAUGAAAAAAAGCAAAACAUUUAUUUCAAAUUACUAUAACUUUUAAAUGAUGUAUCUAUUUUUAAUUUCGUCUACACCGUUGUGUUCAACGUGAUGAGACGAACAAAACUAGACCCCACUUCUGUAUGUUUCGAAGAUUUUUAUUUUUCUAGUAGCAAUUUAUUUAUAUUAACUUAUAACAUAUAAGUUAUAUUGCUAAUUUAUUCUGCUAAGUUAUGCUGCUAACCUAUUAUGCUAAGUUGUAUUGUAUAACUUUUGUUUGUGCAUAAUAACUGUGUAACUUUCUAUAUACACUAGCGUAUUAGUUGUGUAACUUAUAUACAUAAGUUGUGUCGGCGUCUAGACUCGUGAUCUAGGCACUAACGAGUAUAAAUCUGCGUGACUGACCAAGCUUGGAUGGUGAUGCAAGUGAGACACAGAGGGUUUAUACUGGUUCGGGCUAAGGAUGCCCUACGUCCAGUGUAGCGGUGGAUUCUGUAUAACCUUGCACCCAAAGGUGCUUGCAGUAGGGGGUACAAGCUGGUUGCGAGAGAGGGCUAAGUCCCAGGUCUCGGCUUGGUGUGGACAGAGUGCGAGCUGUUGCUCUGUGAAAGAGUGUUGUGUGCGUGUUCUGGACCUGUCCUCCCCAGUUGUGAACCCUGGCUCCCCUUUUAUAGUCCCAAGGGGAAGACAGGUUUUUACAAGAGUAGAUUUCUUCUGUUGAAUGGUGAAACCACAGUCCCGACCCUAUUGAAGCUGGUCCAUCUCGUCCUUGUGGGAUGGUUGACGGCAUGGCUACUCCUGUAGAGGGUUACCGAACCCUGUAGGGGUCGCGGGGGUCGGAUCGCCGGUACUGCUGCAUAUCCUGUCAACAGUGGAAAAUGACCACAAACAGUGGUGCUGAUUUACCUCACUCAUUCCCUUUCUACUAUGCGGUAGUGUGCUACAGUGAACAGGGGUAAGGGUGUAUAGUGACAGAGGUAAGGCCACAGUGACUGGGGUGGUUGAAACAAUCGUCGCCUUGCUCUGCCACGUUAUGGGGCCGUCGCGUCCGUCAUGUCGGGGGAAGUCUUGUUGCUGUAACAUCCCUGAUGUUACGAACACUAAAACUGGAUCAUGUCAUCAUAAGCAUUGCAAAGCAUAUUUGUUAAGCACAUUAUUAUGCAUCAACUUAAAAUAAGGUUAUUUUGGUUGAUUGUGCUUAGGAAAUUAAAGUGUGCUUAUAUUGUGUAUGGAUGUUUGUGUUGGUGAUUAAAACCCUGGGUGAAAGUUUUUCCGAAAGACUUAAGGGGGGAAAUCCUAAUUUCAAAAACCUAGAUUUGCCCCUUUUGUGCAAUUCAAAAACAAAGCAAGAUUUGAAGUUGAGUUCAAAAGCAAAGUUGUAGAUCUUGUUAAGAUGUACAACUUUGGUGUUUUGAGUUUUUGAAGUUUCAGUACAAAAUUCAAAGUAAUUUUGAAAAUACAGAUUUCCGGAAAGUGUCCCCUUUUCAAACUUAAAUCUCCAAUUCAAAAUCUGUUUGGAAUUUUGAAAAAUGGUCAACAUGAGAGUUGUAGGGCUUGAAAAGUUGAACAAUUUUCAUGUUGGGAGUUUUUCAAGUUGUUUUGGAAAAUCAAAAGUAAUUUUGGAAAUUCUAAUCUGCUCCAAUUCAAAAUUUGGAAUUUCCCCAAUUUGGGAUUUGAAAUUCAAACUGUUUUGUCAAAUUCGUCAUUUUCCACCCAGAAUUGGCUUUGGUCACCAAAAUAAGAUUUGUAGUUUGUAAAAUUCUGAAUAACUUUUGUUUUGGUGGAAUUUUGUCUUCAGUUCAAAAUUUGGGCGAUUUUUGCAAAACCACAAAAUGGUUGGAUAAGGCUCGCUACAGUGCUCGAGGCCGCCGGGGCAGAGCUGCUGCUCAGGACGCCGCCACGCACCCAGCCACGCAGCUGCUCGCCUGCUUGCGGUCGCGGUGAAGUGGCCGAGCUCCUGGCGUCCUCAUCCACUUCUUCCCAUGGCUCGCACCUCACUGCAACCCUCUCUUCUUCCUUUCGCUCAACGCCGGUGAGCUCCCUGCGCCCGCAAAAAUUCGCCUCGCCCGCUCCCUUUCCGCGCCACCAGAGCACCCCAGCAGCUUCGCCAAGAGCUCAGCGAUCUUUUGCGCCUCUUACUGCACGCUCUACCCUGCCAUAGCACCCGUUUCAUCCAUCCUUUUCAAUUCCGGCCAAAAGCGCCGCCGAGGAGCACCUCACCGUGGCCAUGCCACCUCAGGCCUUCUCGCAGCAAGCCGUGAUCACCAGAGGGUGCACAUAGGCCCAACCAUGCUCCAGUACCUCUCCCUUGUCGCCAACAGACGGUCGCCGGUCGGAAAUCCGGCUUUCCCGCGCGCCUCCUCUGUUUCCAUUUCGCGCCAGGGACUUCGCGUUGGAAUUCGACACAAGGCAAGGGUCUAACUGCGAAGUUCGUGACUCAGGUGAAUAGUGCCAUCAGGACCUGUUUGUAGAUGUUUUGUUAGAUCUUUGAAAAUUCAUAUCUGGAGUUUGGCAACUCCAAUUUUGGUGAACCAAAUUUUGUUGUGCUCCUUGAAAUGUCUAGUUUUUAUUAAAAAUAUGAAACUGACCAUGUUUUGUAGUAAAAUAAUUAGUUAUGAUUUAUGCCUUUUAAUUAUGUUUAAAAAGGAGAAAUUCAUAUCUAAUUCUGUGUAGCUCCUAUGGGCCUGAAAUUUUUAUAGUGUUUUGAUGAUGCUAUGUGAGUGUUACAGUAAAAAUUUCAUGUUCAGUGGAUGAUAUAUGGUUAAGUUAUUAAUUUAUCUUGUUUAGUGCUUAUUAAAUAGUUUACAAUUAAACUAAAAAUAAAUAAAUGUAAAAUACAGUUCCUCUGCCUUUAUAUGAGGUUGUUAUAUCAUACAGAUACAUAAUUUAGCUAUGUGUUUGUAGAAAAUGUCGAGUUUCUUAAUUAUCUUGCUGUUACAUGCUUUCUUGUGAUGGCAAUUUAUCUUUUUCAUGGAAAUUGCUAUACUUAUCCAAAUGGCAUGAAAUUAAUACAGUAGACUUUGGAGAACAUAUAUGAGCUGCUGUAGUUUUCUCAUAAUUUACUGUAUACUUUUGAUAUAUGGUUAUUGCUUUGUCUAUUUACCUAAAUAAAUUAAUAAAAACAUGAAAGGAAUUUAUUUAGGGAUGACCAUGAUGUUUUCUAGUAUCUCUUUGAUGUAUUUCAACUAUUUGUGAGCUGGGUUUUGCCCAGGUCCAAGUUUGAAAUAUUAAUGAAAUGUUAUUUGUCUAUAAUUAAUUUAUUAGUGAUUUCUGGACAGUUUCUGGAACCUUAUGAAUUGCUCUAGGUAAAUAAUGUUGGAUAUGAAACUUGUCUAUAACAAAGUUGUAUAGAAUUCAUGUAUCUAGCUGGUGUUAAAUUUUGGUGGCAUUUGGCCCUAUAGUUUCUGAGUUAUGCCUGUUUAAAUUUAAGUUUCAGAAAUGGUUCCUCUCUGUCAAAUUCUGGAUCAGUUUCUGUAGUUGUGCAAUUUCAACCUACUAAACUUAUGAAUCAUGCUUUCAUGAUAAAAGAUGAAUUGUAGUAAUUUUCAUAAGCUUUCCAAAAUGUUAUGGAUCAUGAAUUUUGGUGAUCUAGAACUCUGGUUAUAGAUGUAUGAAGCUUAAUGUCUGAUUCUGUCCAAGGUCUGGACAGAAUUGUUUAUUCAUACUGUUUGGCCAUGUUAUCUAUUAAAUCAGUUUUUGAAGAUAAUAACAAAGUUGUAGAAAAUUAUCUAAGCUUUCCAGAAAGUCUAAUAUCACCUUUAUUGGAUGUUUGGAUCUCUAAUUAUGGUUGAAUGAAGUUGUGUAUAUGCUGCUGUCCCGGUUAUGUGUGCAAAUAGAGUUGUUUGUUUUUAGCUAGCCUUUAGCUUAAUUUCCAAAUUAGAAUUUGAGUGCUUUUGGGAUUGUGUGAUGACCUGAGGUCAUUAUCUUUUAUGACCUUUGGCACUUAAUUAUUGUUUGAUGUUAAUACUUAAUUACUGUCAUUAAUAUUUAAUUAAGAGUUUAUUAAGAUAAAUGGAAAGCCUAAUCAUUUUAGGUUUUGAUUGAUCUUUGGGAUUGAUUGACAACCAGUGGUUACUUGGCAUGAUAUGCUCCCUGGUUAUAGAUUAUUUCAUAUAAAUAAUCUUUGUUGUCUGAUAGCUACACAACCUUGCUUAAUGAAGAUGAUAAAAUUUGCUUAGAAGUAAUCUAUGUUUUGAUAGCUAGAUUAGUUUGUUUCUAUACCAUGAAGGUAAGUUGUACUCGAGGUAGUUAUGUUUGUUGUUAUCAUCCAAGAACAUGUAACCUGUCUUUAUCAUGUCAUGAGCAUCUCAUUGAUCAUGCAUAUGCACUUUUACGUAUAGAAUACGCUCCGGAGGAAUCUGAUCCUCAGUGGGUUGCUUCCGAGUUUGUGGAUCCUUCGGGUUUUGCUGAGUUGCCGAAUUUCCCUUCCGGUCAAGGCAAGCCCCGGACAUUAAACCCUAUCCUUGUAUUUUCAUAAAGUUAUUUAUAUCACUUGAGUUAAUAUGAUGCAUUAGGUGAAUAGGAGUUGAGUGAAUCCUAUUUGCUGCAUUAUCUACCUUGAUGAUUUCCAUAUUAACCUUGAUACCUGUUUUAUGAAAAUACUUAGUAUGCUUAGUCUUGCUUAUUAGAUAAGUUUUCAAAUGAGAAAGUUUGAAGGGUUGUUGUAGAAUAAUUUUAAGGUCAAUAAUGUUCAACUUGAGACCGGUCGGUGGACUUGCUUUAAGAAUGGAGUCUUAAAGUAGUGUCUCCAACUGAGUCGAUUAAGGACCGUACCGUUGAUUGGCCUGUUGUGAUUGAGACCUUUGAGUACAGCCCACAUGCGGCGGUAAGCCUUACCUAUAGCUAUUCCGAUACUUGAGAACGGCUAACCGCGUACUGGGAGUGGAGAGAUGGCGAGAGUAGCGUGUACCCACCUUACGGAUCUGAGAUGACCGGAAAACAUCUAGAUUGGCUGUAGGAUGGUGGUGUACUGUACUCUCGGGUGACGCUGGACCCGUUCUUGUAUGGGAGGAUCUAUAGAAAAGGUUGACAUAUGCAAGAUUAAGUUCUACAUAUGUCGUGUGGUACUGAAUCCCCAGCUGGGUUUAAUCGAUUCGAAUCGCCGUGUUUCCUCGGAUAUGGAGCCUCAAUCCUCACACCAUCAUCGUAGUAAUAAGUGAAUCUUUGGUAUAAGAAAGAGGUGUUUUGAUUAUGAAAGUUGGAUAAUGAUACUGGCUAGUAUAAGUGAUAAUCUUGAGUUAAAACUUGAAAUUAGGCUUUACUCGUAGUAAGCUUUUAUGCAAAAGAAAUACUUGAUCUUGUUAAAGCUUUACCUUGAAUCCCCAUGGCCUGCAUACCUGAGUCUUCACCUCUUUUAUAGUCGGUUAAGUCUUGUUGAGUACUUUUGUACUCAGGGUUUAUUAACCCCUGUUGCAGGUGCUGACUUAGACUGCUAAUGGAGGUCAUGUCGGUGGGCGCGACAUGAUUUAUCCACCUCUUCUACCUUAGAAGCUUCACCUAAGAUGCUUCCGCUACUCUAUACACCUUUUGGAAAUUUAGUUAAGUUUAUACUUCAUCAUAUGUUGUAAAUUAAGUUAUAAAUCUUCCGCACUCUGAUCUAAGUUAUUUUUGUAACAAAUGUUGUAAUGUUGUGGUAACUCCAUGUUGAUCCUGUAUGAGAUAAAAUGUGGAUGAUUCGGGGUCCUCCGAGGGUACCCGACAGACUUCUUGAGUCAUUUGGAACUCGUGCAUGCCGAUCACAAGUCUUGGAGACAAUGAUGGGUGCAUGUGGGCCACUUAAUUCAGGAGGUUCUGCCACAGCUGCCCAGGUGGAGUGGGGUCCGGCACCCGAGCCAAGACGGGAUCGGGCGAAACGGAGCUUGCGUCCGAGACCCUGAGAGGUCGGGCGAGUCGGAACUGGCGUCCGAGGCCCUGAGGGGUCGGGCGAGUCGGAACUUGCGUCCGAGGCCCUGAGGGGUCGGGCGAGUCGGAACUUGUGUCCGAGGCCCUGAGGGGUCGGGCGAGUCGAAACUUGUGUCCGAGGCCCUGAUGAUCGUAAUUAGUAUGUUUCUUCGCGUUUUUUGUUGCUCUGAUUCGGGUAUCCCUUAUUAUGGUACCCAACAAGUUGUAUUGUGUAAAUUAUGUCUCCCUCUAUUCCAAAUUAUAAAAUGUUUUGAUAUUUCUACAUAUAUUGAUUUUGUUAUGUAUAUACAUAUAUAGUUGUGUCUAGAUACAUAGUAAAUUCAAUUUAGAAAAGUCAAUAUGUCUUAUAAUUUGAAAUAGUGGGAGUAAACUUAUGUACAUAAGUUAUAUAGUAUAACUUUUUUGAGAACGACUAAGUUAGCAAUGUUGAGUUAUUCCUCGAACUUAUGUUGUCUAGAAACACUCCUAAGUUAGUACUGUUAAGUUUAUCGUGAACGUUAUGCUUUUUAAUUCCGUUUUAUAAGUUAUAAGCACAUGCUUCUUAAAAGAAUAUAAAAAAAUUAAAGGACAGGUGAUCUAGCAAAAGAAAGUGAAAAAAAAAAUCGAAUGUCUUAAAAGAGAAAGAGAAACUAUUAUUGUUCUGUCCAAAAAUAAAAAGUAACAUAUGCACUUUCCAAAAAAAAAACAAAAUUGCUGUCGGAAAUUGACCGCUGAUUUCGUUUCUGCUGAACGUUCGUGAAAUAGGGGCGUCGGUCUGUCAGGUGACAACAAGGUCACAUAACAUGUGUUCCUCAAAGCCCAAGCCCACUAGUAUAAAAAAAAAAAAGAAGCCCAAGCCUACCGUCAGCACGCGAACACCGUUCUGGCUUGUGAACUUGAGACCGAGGCGCACGCUUGCACUAGCUCAUUUCCCAACGCGCACCCAAACAUGGCCGCUCCGACCGCCGGCGUCGACACCACCGCCCCGCCUCCUCCUCCCUCGGCAGAGCCCGCGGCUGCACCCGCACCGGAUCAAAAGGUCUCUCCUCCUCCUCAUGCCCCUCAGCCCGAUGCGCCUGCGCCCGCGGCAGCACCGGCUCCUGCGCCCGUGCCCGCGCCAGCGCCGAGGAAGCGGAAGCUCGAGGAAGCGGGGUUCCACACCUCCGAAUACUACAAGAUCCGUGCCGUCGUCGCCGACCUGCGUGUCCGCUUCGUCCAGGUUCACACUCAAUAUCUCUUUUUUUUCUCUGUCUAAAAUUCCCACUAGGGCUAGUUGUGUACUCUGGCGGAGAAGGCAGAGUUGGUCACUAAAUCUGGGAAAGGGGCAAAAUCCUGGCUACAUGAUAAUAGAACAACCUUUUAGCGAAUUCGAGUAUCUUUUACCUGCUACUGAUAUGCAGUGUAGUUUCUCGUGUUAUGGAAUACUAUAAAUCUAUUCUGAAUUGUCGUAUAUCUUUUUGUGAAGGUUUACCAAGCUACUGAUUUCCGCAACACGGAUGCUGCUCGUGAGAUUUUGAAAGGUAUAUAAAUGAAACCUAAUUUUCCGUCUUGUUAGGAUGGCAAUUGCCAGUUGAAGGGCUCUGAGACAAAUCUUAGGUCUAGUACUGAAAAUGAAUAGCCUUUAGUUGAUCCAUGUUCUAGAGCUCAGGCUUUGCAUAACUUGACCCUGCUGUGUCCUUGGUGCUGAUCCUUGCGCCAUUGCUGGUGAGGUUGUUGCUGUGGAGGCCAUUGAGGUUGAAAUGCAGCAAUCUUAUCCCUAAGUACCUUUGUGCCUACACAUGGUGGUGUCAUGGUCAUGAUGGGGUGGCCGCAUAUUAUGUUGCAAGUGGCAUAGAAAUCGACAGACAAGUGAUUUUAAAUGGGUUGCUGACUGCUUACCAGUUUGGACGGAACAAGGGAGAUUUGAAUAGAGUUUGAGUUGUUGGAGGAAAGAAUUUAAGUAGAGUUAGGGGGGGUGUGUGUGUGUGUUGGGGGGGGGGGGGGGAUGGCAAGCAUCUUUUAACUUUUACAUGAGAUCGGUCAGCGCUGCAUGACUUCCAAUCUAAAAUACUGAAUGUUUAGAACUAAAAUUAGUGCUGUUAUAUAAGAAGUAUAGAUCAUGGUAUAAAUAUUCCUUUUUAUUGUAAGUAUUGUUUUCUCUAGGCUAGCAGCUUUAACAGCUUCAAACCCUGAGCCAUUGCUAUUGCUAUUGAGCUUAGUAGUUCGGUCAUAGUCCUGUAUUUCUUUCGUGUCUCAUCUCUUUAGCUAGAACUCUAUGAUCAACUCUAGUAAUGGUAAAAUCUCCUAGCAUUGUUUGUACUGAUGUAUAAGCCUUUUUUUGACUGGUGAAAAUCAGUGUUCAUGUUGUUACAUGUCAAGAAAAUGUUGGCUGUGCAAUACUGCAAUUAGAAAUUGGUGGUACCAACAGCCCAAGACAAGCAACUUAGGGUUGAUCCAGGGAAGCUAGGGUAAAAAGGCCUGAUAAAUGUUGUCUUUUUAAUACUUAGCAAAAAAAUAGAGGUAAGGACUUGAGGAGAAAGAGAGCCGUUGUAUUUAGUCUUAUGAAAAAUCUUAGCAAUCAUGAAGCGUGAAUAGUAGAUAGGUAAAGGAAAGAUGUAACCAGUGCUGAAAGCAAAAUUUCUGAAACUAUAAUUUUAUGUAGGAAGAUUUGGUUUUGUACUGGUAAAAGGCUUGGUAUUGAGUCCAUACACUGGGGAAGUUUGAAACCAUUUUUUUUUUCUAGAAUCACUGCUAGGCAAUGAACUAGUUGCAGAUGGAGAUGCACCAAUGCGGCUACUUGUAAUCUUAGUGUUUCAUGAUAUGUAAACAGUCGAUGCAUUGCACUCUACGCUUCAUUUGGCUAGUUGUAUACACAACGGUGCCUUAGGACAUGUUUGUUAAUCAAUUUUGUUGUGAGCCACUUUCUUCUGUUGAUUUGUUGGUAGCACAUUCUAAGUUUGAUGCAGCCGCUGCCUUCUGUGACAGCAUUGUGCAUCAAAUGAUGUAACCCAUUCACAUCUCUACUUCUUAUGACUUGAUUUCAUAACUUUCCAUAUGACAUACAAAGUCUUGCAUGCAAAUACAUGAUUUACACACGUUGUACAUCCUUCUUCUCUAUUUUUUAUUUACAUUAUUUUUUUACUAGUAAAAAAAUGUAUAGGUGUCACUAGGAAAAUCAAUUAUGUGUUUUAUCCUUUUAAAUGGUCAGCAUUGUUUCAAAUAUAUUCUCCACAGAACUGCUAAGCAUACGAUAGAUGUUCUUUACCUAUAUUUUCAGUAGGUAAUUUCAUUAUCACUCAAUUUAGUAAUGAUAUUUGUCAAACUUUGUAAUUCAUUGUGAAAAUAAGCAACCUGAAGUCUCAUGUUCAGUUUAGUAUGUACUAUGUACUAUUGUCUGUUGACAUGGCUUAAUCUUAUACACAUAUGCUUGUCAUGUGUUUUAGAAAUAAAUGUGGUCAUGGAUCUAUCCAAGAAAAUGAGGCUCAAGCUUGGUGCUACUUCUGAGCCCGUGAAACCAUUGGAGAAACCUUCAGCUGGAUUUGUGAAGGAUGAGCUUGUGAAACCAUCAGAGAAGCUUUCAGCUGGACCUGUGACAGAAGAGCCUGUGAAGCCAACAGAGAAGCCUUCAGCUGGACCUGUGAAGGACGAGCCUGUGAAACCAUCGGAGAAGCCUUCUGCUGACCCUGUGAAAAAGGAACCCACUGAGCCAGUUCCAGCUGGAGAAAACAAUCAAGCUCCUGGGGUUAGCCAGACUACAAUUCCUCCAAAUGAUGCAGGUGUUGGUGCACCAGUAGUCAAGCAUGAUAACUCAGAGGCGCAGAAGUGAAGAUGAUAGAGGAAACCCAAAGUCCCGAUCCAUUGAGAUGGCAGAUCAUGCAAAUCUGCUCGACAAAAAUGCAGAGUGAUUGGUUGAACCCCUAGGGGCUCAGAUUUUCUUGCCUCUUCUGGAGGUAAAAUUGAUUGCUUUGGGCUAAUCGACGAAGAGUGGUGGGCAUAUCAAGAUCCAAAUUAGAUGGUGUUCAGUUGUUCGCAUUCAUUCAUUCUGUACUGUGUUGCUAAUUGCUCAUGGAUAAUUUAAUCUUUAAAUAGUUACCCUGUAACUGGAUCAUUCUAUACAUCACAUUGCCCUGUUGUACGAAGUAUUAGCCAGUCAAUUUGGGGUGUGUGGGGUUGGCCGCUUGAGUUGGGUUUUGUUGACUCGACUCUGUAGUACACUGUCCUUUUCUCUCUUUAUAUGAAAUGACACGCAGCUCUCCUGCCUCUUGAGAAAAAAAAAAAAUCAAAGUCGUGCUUGAGAAGAGGUGAUGGAACUGCAAGCGGGGUGCUCAGUGUCUCAUCAAGAUUUUAUUCAUAUUAUGAUGUCUGUUGCAUGUACGGUUGCGACCAGCCAGCCGACACAGAUCACUACGUUCUUUUUGCAGUAUUUUCUCAUCUACAAAGAUCUUCAAACUUGGUGACUGUACUGUAGUUCAACAGUGUUCGAACGCUUGCAAGACUCACUGCAAUGUAGAUCCACGGUGCUCCAAUCCCAGCCGAACAGUGUCUAAAGAAAAGGAAGCUAUGCAGGCCCAUGAGACACUGAGACCCAUGUAUGAUAACUAUAUUGUCACCCUAUUUAGGGUUGGCUCAAUUACAGAAAAACCCUAAGUCUAACACCUUUUGUAAUCAGCCUCCCGAGAGCUAGCUAGCCCAUUAUUCUUGCAUAAUCUUUAGUUUAUGGUUUGCAGUGUUUUUAAAUUUCUGGAUUUACUUUUGAACCCUUCUCCAAGGAUUUCUUGAGGUCUCCCGCCUCGACCGGAGCACGCAACUAGCUAUGUCUAUGUAUGGCCGCGAGUUAAUUCCUAUAUGCAUGCAUGCAUAUGCAUAUUACCCCUUUCCUAAAUAUAGAGCGUUUGAAACUUUCCAAAACAAAUUUCCAACGACACCGCCGGGUUCCACGCUAGCUAACGGCAUCGAAUCCGUUAUUAUAGUUUCCCAUUUCUUUUUCGUGACUUUUUAUUAUUUUCCCAAUUAAUAAAAAAACAACCAUCAGGAUAAGUUGGAGGGGACAGACACAGAGAUAUCAUCCAUCCGAUCUCGCCUCCCAGACCCAGCCAGCUUUGAUUUGAUGAUCACAACAAAUCCGCGAGUUCCCACAGACAACGGAUCCCGAUCCGCGAGCUUCCUCAGCUCCUUCCAAAUAAUCUCCGAUCGAUGUCAUGUCCCCCAAACCAUGGCGCUAGCCGCUACGCUACCCAUGGUUCACCGGCCGCGCGCUGCCUCGGACGGACUCCGGGCUCCGGACGCGUCCGUCAUGUCAUGUGGCGCGGGUGGAAGCUACAAAGACGCGCGACGCGCGCGCCCGAGAGGAGGGCAAGCUGGGCAGGGAGCGCGCAGCAGGUUGCGCCGCGCCUUCCGCGCGCGGGGCGUCGUCCCUGCGCUCGUGAUCGCGAGGGCUUUGUCUCCAGCAGCCGCCGCGCAACGGGGCGGCCUGGGGACGAGUAGGCGGCCGAUGCGGAUCGAUCCGCUUAUAGCCCCCCGGGCGGGCGGGCGGGCGGGCGGCCGGCCGGGGGAGAAACGGAGAUGAGAUCAGAGGCCGCGGAAGGAGAAGAAGGACCCUGCCCCCCGUGCAACCCCACUCGCGCGCCGGCUAUAUAUAUAUAUAUAUAUAUACCAGGAGGGCUCGCACCUCCGCCCACCUACGAUCGGCGAACAAACGAAGCCGCGCGCGGGCUCCUCCGUCUCGCUCGUCGUACGCUUGACGAUCGGCACUGCAUCGUCGACGUCGUAACAAGAUCGAUCUUUUGCACAGCGCGCCGGCAUUAAUUAUCUUGAUCUCGUGAUUCGAUCGUGAGGUGAGUCGUCUCGGCGCCUUUCCAUGCCAUGCUCUUACCCUAAAAAAAGUUGCCCCGCCGACGGUUCACCGGCCCACGUACGGCGCCGGUCGCCAGGCAUUGUUAAUUAGGGCUGCAGAUUUCCGCCGAUGAGCUUCGUUUUCGAAUUAAUUAACCUUUUCUUUGCAGUCUUUUGUGCAAACUAAAAUUGUUAUAUAGUAUCUUUUCUGCCAAAGAAAAAGAGAGAUUGAUUUUGAUCUAUGCUCGAAUUCUUUCCUUAAUUCGUUCGUAUGUGUCUUCUCGUGUUCCAUUGAAUCAUUGAUCGAUUUUGUUGAUCUGAAAUCUUACAACAAGUUGUGUCUCAAAUUUAUUUUAGGCAUUCUUUUGAAGGUAGUACUCUCGGUUGGAUUGUCAACAGAUGGCGAGCAAGUUCGACAAGGAAACCAAUGUAAGUUAAGAUAUAUCACUUGGGUAAAUAAUUUCAUGCACGAUUCGUUUCAAAAAAAAAUCACGUACGAUUGUAUCAUUAGUUGUUCAUCGCAAAGAUUAUUGUAAUAAAUAAGAGCAGGUGCCGCCAUUACAACUCAUAGUUAGCAAAUUAAUGGAUUGUGUUAUUUCCAAUCAAUGCCAUUGAUUUCCAAUGAUGGAUGGAUGCUACCAGGAGCAAUUCGUGGACGAAUAUUCUGACCAAGAUGAGGACGACCUAGGUGACUUCAUUGUGUAUAGCGACGAUGACGAGGAGUCAUUGAAGCACAAGCAGCACCAACAACAGGAGUUCGAUGAUGAGCACCAGGAGGAGUUAGAGGAUGAGGUGGAAGAGGAAGUGGAAGAAGAGCAAGAGGUUGAGGAGGAGGAAGAGGAGGCACCAGUUGGGCAGCAAGAGAUCCUUAGCCUGAGGGAGCAGUUAAAGGAGGAAAUCAGGAGGAAGAACGCGGCAAUGGCUGCCGGCGCUCGCAAACCUAAUUUACCAUCAUCAUCCAAAAACCAUUCGAUGCCACCCAUCAGGGACGGGUAAGAUUUCUAUGCUCUUGCUAGUCUUAUUUGCUUCUGAUUUUAGUUCCAUUUGUUAAUAUAUAGCAAAACUUUUGUAGAUAUGGCACCUUCUUUGGGCCAUCAAAGCCGGUGCUUGCUCGCCGAGUAAUUGAAGAAGGGUGUUCAACGAUCAUGAAAGAUCUACAGAAUGUACCGUCCAAAGUAUGUAUUAACACUUUUAUAUGUGUUUUUGUUUUUUUGUAAGAUUGAACUUUUGUAUUCAUGGUAUGAUCAUAUUUCGUGCAGAAAGAUGUUUCCUUGGCUUCGAAGAUGCGACCAGGCACAGUUGAGAAAAUGCAGAAACUAAAGUUUGUUAGUGAGGUAACAAGAAAUUAACACCUGAUCAUGCUAUUUACUGUAUGGUUCUCUGAACAAAUUGAUUUAUAAACUUGUUACAUAUACGCAGGAGAAGAGAAAGGUUGAUACACUUAGAAAGAAUCGAGAUUACUCAUGUCUGUUCUCAGAUGAUGCUGAUACUCAACCCCCUACUAAAGAUCAUCCUGAGACUAGUAGGGCCCCUCUUCUUGUUCCCAAAUCUGGUAUGGACACUACUUUUUUGUUGGUCAAAAUAUACUUAUUUCCUUUUGCAGUAAAUGUAAUGAAAAAAUACUUCUAUACUUGAUGUGUAGAGACUCAAGAUGCUGGGCCGGUGAAUUCUGCCAGGAAAAGCAGAGUGUUCACAGGUCAACCAGCCACAUUAUCAUCAACAGACCAUGGAUUGAAGAAGAGUUCUGGGUCUCUGGGAAAGAAGGCUCAUGCAGAAAGAAAAGGCACUAUAGCUGCUGGUAGACACGGGUCCAACCUGCCUAACUUGAAGAAGAAAUCCCCAGGGCUGCUAUCACCCUCGAAAGGCCAAGGGGUGCAGCCGUCACUCCAUAACAAGAGGCUACAGGCACCGAUUCCUGGCCAGAAGCUGCGGCAGCAAUCGCAGAGUCAGAGGCCGCAAGGCAAUGGCCGUCAGCCACCGUUGCAGCAAGGUCGAAGUCUACAAGGUCAGCUUAUUGGACAGAAUAGAUCGGCUCCGCAAAAUGGGAGACUGAAAUCAUCACAAAAACAGCUCAUUCCUUCCUCAAAAUUCAAGGUAACAAAUCGUUUUAUAUGAGGACAGAUUGGUGCUACCGUAUCCAUUGCACAUAAAACAUUGUUUUUCUCAUUAUUACAAGACACCAAUUAACAGGGGCUUUUUGUUUUUUCGACGUUGAACAUUUGCAGGCAUCAUCUCAUGGAAUAGAAAAGUGUACAAUAAAAAGAAGGAAAUCCAAUGAUGACAGACAAACAAUGCAUAAGUACGAUUCUCAUUAUUGUUUUUAGUAUUAUUACUGUAUUUGUAUCAGUGCUCUUGUGUUUGCAUUAAUGUGGGUUCGGGUUAUAUACUACUACCUCCGUUUGUUUUUUGUAGGCAUAUUAGGAUUAAAAAAAUAAUUAAAGGGAAUACUUUGACCACAAUUCUCACAAAUAUAUCAUUAUAUUUGCUACCAUAAUAUGAAUGUUGUUAAAAAUAUUAUUAUAUGGAUUUAUUUAUACACUUUUUAUAAACACAAAACAAAACAUCUAUAUUUUGACUAAAUUGAUGGUUGAUUUCAUGAAGUUUAAGUUUUUAUCAAUUACUGAUAUGUCUACUAAGAUUAACAAAGGGAACACUAUUAUGCCACAUGCCGGUCUGUACUGUUCUAGAUCCUGCACUCCUUAGGGCACUCACAAUGCAGACUCUAUCAUAGAGUCUAGAGUUAUUUAUUACCUUGAACAAUAUGGACUUAGAGUCUAAAUAAGACUUAGAGUCUUAUUUUUUCUACCUCUUUCUUCAAUAAAUAUGCUGCCACAUCAGCAAAAUACCAUAAAUAAUAUGUAAUUAAUUGUCUUGAAUUCUGUGAUAGAGUCUUGCAUUGUGAGUGCCCUUAAAUAUCACUACACCUAGGGAUUGCAGAGAUUACAACAGUUAAUUUUGUACUUAAAUGCAUUGAUUUGGUGUUUUGACUUUAUGUGCUCAGCUAUGACGAAUUUGCUGUCAGCGAUGAAGAUGAGAGUGACAUGGAAGCAGAUUUUGCCAGCAUACAAAGAGAAGAGAGAAGAAGGUAUACUUUCAGCUCCAUUCACACAUAACAACCUUUUUUUGUUUGAGGUUCAAAUCUUAGAAGUAUGUAUGGACGUAAUCAUCCGCCAAAUUAAUAAUGGUUUUGAACCCAGUAGAUCACCUCUUUUUUUUAAUAAGGUAUAUAAAAUUGUUCCUUGAACCAAACAUUUUGGAACGUGCGCUUUUGUACCAUGUUAGUUAGUUUUAAUUUGCUGAAUGUGUACUGAUUAAAUCUUAUGCAUUGGUCGCAGUGCGGCACUUGCAAGGAAAGAGGACCAGGAGCAGCUCCUGUUGAUCAAGGAAGAAGAGAGGCGCGAGCGUGCGGCGAAGAGGAAAAGGGCAGCACAAAAGGAAUAGCAAGCGGUCAGGGCAGAAACAGCCUUCCAAGUGUGACAGUAGGAGUUAGUUAGAAGCGGCCAGUUCUUGAAAUCCUGUAUUAUACGGGGAACAGGGUGGCCAAGGGGUUUUGUAGGUUAUUGAUACGGUAAUCUAUCAUCAUGUAGUUUAUUUACCUUUUCUCUGUGGAAGGAAAAUCUACGUAUGCAGGCAUGCAACAAGUAAGACCCCUGUUCCGAAGCCAAUCUAGGGCCUAGUUCCAAAUUUAUGAAAAAAGCUACAUAUGAAAUAAUUUUAUGGAAGUUAGUUUAAAAAAAGUAAGACCCCAGUUCGCCGACUCUAUACGAAUCCCAUUUGUUUCCAUCAUGUCUCCUAUCCCUAGAUGAGGAGGUCUCGUUGUUACCACCAUCAUGGCAUCAUCACUGCAAGAGAUGGUGCUUCCACACCGGUCAUGCCUCUCGUUCUCUCUCCUACGAAAUCGAGCUCAAUGGAGACUAACGAGGUUACCCGGAGGUGCGACAUUAUAGAUGUUAGCCCGCCUUGAGCAACCGCUAACAGAAAAUGUCAUCAUAUUCUUAUCCGACGGGGUCUUGCUAUCCGAGACAGAACGAUUGGCUCCCUAUCUUGACCAUUACCGGCACUCCUUGGUAGGCGUCGGCCGUCGUCAACGACCUCGACCUUGCCAAGCCACUAUAUGACGCCAUCAAUGGUUAGACGAAGAAACUGGCACUUUCAUCAGCCAAGGCCAUGCCUCUCAUUCUUGCCUCUCCCGUGGUUGAAUCUAGCGCAUGGUGGCACCAAUUGCAUUUUUCUUCACCGUGCAAACAUAGGUGGCACCAUGGCGGGCAACAUCAUUGACCUGUGAUUGAAUCGAGAUAUAUAUUGGCGGAGCACCGAGUGCAUUUCUUCACUGUGCGAACAUAGUUGGCAUUGGCGCCGUGGCGCAAGCAGCAGCAACAUUGACACGGGAGUAAUGGUACCCUACCCCCCAAUAUACUUCUUCCAUUCUAGAAAAGCCAAAAAAUUAUAAUUUGAAAUAGAGUAUUAUGCAUUGUUUCUAUUAAUGGUAGCAUCAAUGUUUUUAAUUUAAAACUGAAAGUAUUAUUGAUAGUCAAAAGUUUGACCUUAACCUCGUUUAGAAAUCAAUACAAACAGAAAUUAUACCCCUCCAAGCAACAAGCGUUAAAUUUCUAUCCCUUAGAAAUGGUAUAAAUGCAAAUUUAAAUUCCUACCCCUUAGAAAUGGUAUAAAUGCAAAUCCCUUAUGCACAUUUUGCAUUAAAUAGGUCAAGUUUGGAUCUCCUAAAAAAUAUAAGAAAGAGGUAGAAAUAUAAGAAUGAGAUCCAAACUCUUUGAAUGAAAUUCUAAAAUCUAUCUGCCCUAUUUGAAGAUUUCCACUAUACAAAGACAAUAAUCACUAUGUGAUCCAAACACCCUCAUUUUUUUAAUCCAAAUUCUACAUUCACGGUCUAGAAUCCAGAAAAUCCAAAUUCUACAUUCACGGUCUAGAAUCCAGCCAAACAUGCACAUAGUAACCGUUUCUCUUGUUCAUUCAGGGCAGUCCCAAUGACAAUUAAUGAGCAGUUUCUACCUUCAUUAACUAUCCUGCCAACUAAGCAAAAAUCCUACGUGGCAGCUUAAUUAAUGAAGAGAGAUGGAAAAAGAUGGAAACCGUUUCUUGUUCACGAAAUCGCGUCGACGCAAGCAACGAGGCCCAUCGAAACCAGCAGAAAUGCACUGGGGAGAAACCAGUCGUUUCUUGCCCCCGAGGACCGGAUCAGAUGCUCCGCCGUCGGCUCCUUCCCAUGCGCGUCGAGCACCAGCAGCUCCUUCCCACGCGCAACAAGACGAGCAGGUAUUUCUCGCGGGCGCCCCCCGCCUGCUUCCCGCGUCCAGCCGCCAGCUUCCUGCGAGCGCCCGCGCAGGCAGCCAAAUAGGAACCCUAAAUUCCAAAUCCUGCUCCAAUCUUCCCCAAUCUGGCGAUCAUGAGCCCACUCCGGCCGCCAUCCUCAAGCUCUAGGCAAGUUAGGGCAGGCAAUGGAUGGGUAGGGAAGGGUACAACAGGGCAAGGCAUGGGUGCUCCCGCCGCCGGCAAGGGUGCUCCCGCAGCCGCCCUGGCUAGCCGAUUUGGUGCAGUUGCAGGUGCUGCAGCAGCUCCUACCGAUGAUGGAUCCAGUCAGGCAGCAGCUGCAUCUCCAACUCUUCCAAGUCUUGAAGCUGGUUGUUUACCUGCAUGGUGGACAAGUUCGUCUCCCAUGGGCUCAAGUGAAAGGUAUGGUUAAUUAACAGCUGCUUAUUUUGUUUGAAUGUAAGUGAACACUAGUAGCGUACAGUUCUGUGAAGCACUCUGAACUUUUUAUUUUAGCAGCUUAUAAUUAUUCUGAACUGUUCAUUUUGUUUGUUAAAAUAUUUCUUUGCCUAAUAUGAAAUUGUGUGACUUGUACAUGGUGGCUUGUGGACUGUUGGCUUCUGGAGUACCUGCUGCAACUUGCCGAGAGGAUAUGGAUACCUGUUGCAACUUGCUUCUGGACUGAUGGCUUCUGGACUGUGUGCUUAUCAUUUAGUUAUCAAUAAUAUAUAUGCGGCAUAUUAUCUUAUAUUUUCAGAACUUCAUUUGUAUGAUUCAGAACUUAUAUUUUCAGAACAUAUGGAUGGAAGUAGCUUUCACUACAAAGCUAGCUGGAUUGCCCAACUAUAUGAUUCAGAACUUAUAUUUUCAGAACUUCAUUUGUGCUUUAGAACCUAGCUGUGAUUCAGAACUUUAGCUGUGAUUUAGAACCAUAUGUCUCAAUUUUAUAUAUGUUUCUCGUUUGGCAUAUUAAUAAAUAUGAUUUUGCAAGCUACAGAGCAAGUAUAUGGAAUGUGAUGAGUGACCAGCAAGUAUAUGGAAUGUGAUGAGUGACCAGCAAGUAUAUGGAAUGUGAUGAGUGACCACGUACAACAUACAGGCUAUAUGGAUGCUUGCCACAAUUGAUCUAUUGUUUUUUUUGUUGCAUUUAAAGUUGUCUCUAGUAUAGUAAUUAUUAUAGAAACCAUGGAUUGGAAAAGGUAGUUUCUAUAGCACAUUUAUUGCUCUGUUUCUCUCUUGUCUCUCUUGGAUAAUGCAUCAAGAAACUACCCAUUGGGACUGCCCUCAUCAGUUAUGCCUAUCGCGUCCUCAAAGUGCCUUAAACAAGUGAUGCUUUGUGAUGCUUUUGUGCGGUUAUUCUGCUUAAUGACUAACUCUGUUUAAUGCGGGAUGGUGAGCCAACCCACCCCUGCUAUUGUACCACUGGUUAACUUUGAAACAACUGUGUGACGGCUAACCUUGAAAUCGAAGAUUCCUGCCACCACUGACCUUACAUGGCGCCAUUACGUCAGUUCCCAUUGCACACAUGCCCCAUGCGCAGUCUCUUCCUUUUCUAACAAAAUUAUACUCCCUCGCAGUGUAUAAGGCGUAAUCAUUUUUUACUCGUCCCAUAAUAUAAUGUAUGCUCUCUCACAAACAUAAAUGAGUCAAUUGCGAUCGAAAGAUGACAAAAGAAAAAAAAAAAUAACGCACAAAUCCAGUAGCUUGCCUAGUUGACUUUUUUAUAUUAUUAUUUAUACGAGAAAACUGAAGUGUAAGCAAAUGACCAUCGAAAUAAUGAACUGACGCACCCAACAAUGAAAAUGACCACUACUGAACCCAGGAUGAUAGAAUGGUUGUAAACAUAUGAGUUCACGAUCAAAACGGUGGCAGACUUGGGGGAAAGCGGACUUGCAUCCACUGCUUUUCGUAGGUUGAGACAUGGGUCCAUCCCAUCUCCUCAAUCAACUGGAUCUUCAAAUCGUAAAGCUUUUUCUUUGGUUCAGAUUCAUUCUGAAUCAAAUCAUUUAGAACCUGGCCAUCAUGAAAACAGCUACUAUUAGUGCUGACCUUAGAUGAACGCAAGGAAAAAAAACAAAAAGUAGUACCACAACAGUAACUGGCAAGCAUCAAACAAACAAUAACUAAUAGAUAGUCAUCUGUUAUCAUUAAACAUAGUUGCUGACAAAAUAUAGUACUCUGCAAUACUCCAUGUCUUCACUUGAACCAGCAACCACUCAGCCAUAGAAUAACUAAUGACAUGUAGGUAGAACAACCACUCCUCUAACAGUUAUCAUGAAGAUUACAUAACUGCAAAUAGCAAGCACUUGAUAGGAAGAGCAUACCUUCAAUGCUGUACCAGGUCUUCCACAGCGUUUUUCACGCAAAACAGUCAGAGUGCCAUAUUUUGCAGAUUUGGCAUCAACCCAUUUGAUCAAUUCUUUGUAAUUCUCCUCAAAAAUGUCUUUAGCAGAUGUCUCAAUUGACUCAUCAGACUGUCACAAAACAAAAGAAUUAUUUCCAAAACAUGCACCAUGGUAAUACACAGAUAGGCAUAAAAUAGUUGUGGGUAGGUGUGUGGGUUUGGGUCUAUGUAUGGCUCACCCUUCUUCUAUUAGUAUAAUGAUAAGCAGCUCUGCUGCGUGUUCGUGAAAAAAAUAAACUACAUGUAUUGUAAGUUCAGUUGAAAAUGUAUGACACCAUGCAAGAAAUAAGAAUAUCAAUUCAUGGCAUAAAGAUCCACAUACUGAGCAAAAAGUAGAAAAACAAUCUUUGUUAUGCUUUGCACUGUUGAUACAAGGUUUGAACAGUCUAAGUUCUAGGUUAUGAUAACAUGAGUAACAAAAAAUAGAAUAAAAACAGUAAAGGCAUUAAUCUCAAGAAAAUAUGAAAUGCAAAGAUGCUGUACCUUCAGUGACUCUAUCUCUGCCAAUGCAAGGCAUUUUUGAUAUAGUGCAUCAACCAACUGAUCCCGUGUUUCUUCCAUUUUUUUCUUGAAUUUCUGUCAUGGACAAAAUAUUUCAGAUAGUCAGAAUUAAGUACAAGCUACUCUCUCCAUUCCAAAUUAUAAGACAUUUGAGUUUUUCUAGAUACAUUUCUUUUACUAUGUAUCUAGACAUAGUGUAUAUCUGGAAAAGCCAAAACAUCUUACAAUUUGGAAUGGAUGGAGUAAUACAGUUUCACAAAAAUAAAAGAACAAAACAAAGUACUAUUUCUGUUUGAAAUUACAAGGCAUGUUUCGUUUUGUUAGGACAAGGUUUUGACCAAUAUAAAAACCAUAAUCAUAAGUGUAUGUUCAACACGAAUCUAAUACCAUCAAGUUUGUUUCACAAAAAUCAUGUAUUAAUAUAGUAAUUGCUGGUAAAGGCUUGCACUAACGAAACGAAAUACUUCAAAAGGAGGAAGCACUAUUGUUACCUGUGCUUCUUCAUCUUCGGGAUCUGAAUUUAGAGAUAAAUACUUGGCCAGUUCCUCUUUAUCAAUACUGCCCACAACCUCAUCGGCUGCAGCAAUAACCUGAACACCAAUAUGACAAAGUGGAAAAAAGAACUCUUGCUUGAUAAGGAAUAGAGAGAGAGAAAUGAAAGUUAAUUUUAAAAAAGGAGAUGACUUAUUAAAGCAUGGCACUGACAUAAAAAUUAUAAGGUCGAAAAUAUAACAUGAUUUUAUCUGAUAGAUUAAAGACAUUAACCCACAUAUGUGACAGGAAAAUGUCUUCUGUAAGUUGCAAUAGGCACACGGAAUAAUCGGUUUAUUAUGGAAGAUAUAAUUGUAGACAUAUAUAGGCAGACCUAGGUUUAUAGAAAUACUCACUCCGUCCACAAAAGGAUGCAACUAUGGGAUUUCUGCAAGUCAAACUAGCUUAACUUUAACCAAGUUUAUAGUGAAUAGUAUUAACAUUUAUGUCUCCAACUAGGUUAACUUUGACAAUUAUUUGACCAUAUUCCACUCUUUCAAAUCCAUUCAUGUCAAAGCUAUAGCCAAACUUUUACCUGUGUGAUUGUUUCCUAAGAGAAAAAUGCAACAAGAUUUUAUUUCAUUAAACAGUGAUGACAUGAGCUAAAGUUUCCAAUUCCAAUACUAAUGACGCUUGCCAGAAAAUCCAACUUAAGGACCCAGAAAUGGACCCUGCAGGAAUAGAUGUGCUAGGGUUCCUAGUCCUGCGGGGGAGGGAUCACGCCACCGAAGUAGUAAUGGUGGUUGCCGACGUGUAAACUGGCGGCGCUGUGCCCGUGAACGCCCAGGACGAGAUAGGAGACGGCGAUGCUGGCCACCCAUGUGCAGAGGCACACUGGACUGCGGCGCGGUGGGAGCGGGUGGAAGUGGCGGAGGCUGGGAGGCAGGCGAAGGCGGAGGUGGGGGUGGCAGCAGGCCUGACAGGGCCGUCUGCAUGGCCACCAUGUUGCAGCUGAGCACGUCGAUGUUGGCGCCCAUCCGAUUGACGAUACCGGCCAGGGCUUCCAAGGUGAGCGGUGCGCCGGAGGACUCCGAGAUCUCCGAGUGCACGGCGGAAGCUGACAGCGUGGCCGCCGCCAAGACGCCGGAAGUAGCCAGAGGCGUGGUCAUCGGACCUGAGAUCUCUGAUACCAAGCUGCUAGGGUUCCUAGUCCUGCAGGGGAGGGAUCGGAGAUUGUAGGUGUGACUGAUCGCUGGGCGAGCUUGGAGUGCGCGGGGGAGACGGCGUGGUGGCGCCGUUGCUGCUGCCAUGCGCGGUUAGGGCUAGGGCACGGUGAACUCUCGACUCCCUGAGGGAAGCCGAGAAACAAAUAUGUUUCUGCUUGAUUAUCUCAUAGAAUCUUACAAAUAUAUAAUCUUCUCGCCUCCUAAUAAUUUAUGAAUCACUCCCUAAUAAUAGAUAUAAAGGUAAUUGGGCUUGCAGCCCCCCCCCCCCCCCCCCCGACGCCGACCUAGUCAUGAUCGGCUACUCCUAAUCACCUGUUAAUCUCCUCCUCUUAUACGAGAUGCCGGUCAUAACAAGAUGACAAUUCUAUUGCACCAAAUAAAGGGCCAGUUUUUUUUUUUUUUUUUUUUUGGGGGGGGGGGGGGGGGGGGUUAAUAUAUGCAUGUUGCCACUAGUAGUGAGUUCGGGCAUUAACCAAACAGUUCCAAGACACCAACCAUAGGCAUGGUAGAUAGUUAAACAAGGACAGUUUCGCAUAAGAACAUCAAAUUUGUAAAUUCAUUUAAGCAUUGCUAAGUUCAGCAGUUAGGCAUAAGAUGCAGGGCACCAAAAAUGAAAUGGAACAUUAGUCAACAUUUACCUCUUUUUCAUGGCUAAUCUUAUCAUCAUCAGUUCCUUUCUGGAGAACACAUUCCAAAAUCUUAGAAAGCAGAGGUGUGUACUUUGGAUAUUCUGACUGCCACAUGCCAAGAAAGUUAAGUCAGUUGGAGUUACAGAACAGAAUAAUACAAUAUAACUAUUUAUAAUUUUUGAUGGCAGAAAAAAAAAACUUUUUGGAAAGAGAAUAAAUAAGGUAUCUUAUUUAUAAUUUCUCCUCAAAUACACAGGAGAAUUACAUAUCAUUGCAUUAAGAAGAAUGAAAUACAAACAACGCACCCGAAACACACCCCUCACAGGUCAGAAGAUUGCAAAUGCACCAGGAGCAAAAAAACACGACCUCACCCAAACAAACCAAAACCUCCUCAGGUAAUGGUAACCACCAGGGCUAGAGUGCAUAGAAGGAAGCUGAGCCUAGCUCGGUUGGUUGAGGAUAUGGAUGCAUGCCUAGACCGCCUAGGUUAAGUCCUCAUCGAGACAAAUUUGAAUGUUAAUCCAUAGAUUUGUCUAGUUUAAAGCCACCUAGUUCCUCACUUCCUCUUAGUGUAUUAGUUUUUUAGUGCAUAGUAAUUCUGUAAAGUACAGAUCCUAACAACAAAAAAGGAAAAAAGAGAAGGAAACAAACUGUUAGUAAGCUACAUGAUACUCCCUCCAACCAAAUAUGAUGGAUGUAUAUGCUCUGCGCACAGAGACCAAGGAUAAAAACUGUCCUCCCCCAAUGCAACAAUUGAAGCAUCAAAUCUGAUGAGGACAUUUUGUUGCCGUUAGUGUACGCCCACCAUUGGCACAUGUUGCACUUAGGGAUUUAAAUCAACCAGAGAACGGCAACUACCCAUAACUAUGCAAGCAUUGUUAUGUUGCAUUCAUGCAAAGCUGACGCCCGCGUUGAAACCAAGUUGACGCCCGCGUUGAAACCAAGAAAAAGCGGCGCCCACGUCCAAAUACGCUAAAUCAGUGAUCAAAGUUUUAUACAUAUUUUAUUGGUCAUCAGGGGUUCCAACCCAUAUCUUUUAUAGUUUUAUCAAAGUUUUGAAGAUGAAUUAUGUAGGAAACAGACAUAUUUGGAGAAAACAGUUCUAUAGGAAACAAAAUCUAACUAUUACAUCGAAAAGUGGACUGCAAGUUUGAUCCAAGAACAGAGUGAUUUUUGUUAAGGCUCUUUCGUAGAAGAACUUUGAAUAAAAGAUAAGACUUCUCAUGAAAGGCGAGUCAAAACACAUCAGAUGAAUGACUUUCACAACAUGAAAAAUAGCACACCUUGAGCUUUCUUAUACAUUUAUAGCAUCUUAUGAAUGUCAUUUGGCCAUUAUGCAUGGCACCCAAAUUAAGCACACAUAGACCUCCAAAUUUAUGUCAACGUGAUGAAUAAAAACAUGUGAUGUAAGAUAGUAAAAUGUGAAUAAGGAAUUAAGGAUGAUUCAGCAGUACUACGUCUGAGGAUACUACAAAAACAUCAUAAAAGAAAACAAUAGUCCUUGCAGAUAAGAUUGCCUACAGCUUCAGCUAUAAAGGAGAGUCAACACAUAGUUAGCAGACCGUUAGACUAGUGUAUGUUUUUCACUGCAGCUAUCUGUAACAUUUUAUCUUUCUGAAUACAACUAAUCAUAAGAGAAAUUGUUACUAAAAACCAUAUGCCAACACUACCUUCAGAGAAGCCACAAGCUCCGACCAGGCAGACUUGUCCUCCUCAGUUUGUUGCUUAACACUGGAAAGAAACUUUAUCUUGGUGUCUCGAACCUAGUCAUCCAAUACAAUGAUACAUUGAGGAUUGUAUUACUUCUCAAGAGUUUGUAUGGCAAUAAGAGAAAACUAUUAUAAUCAUGUAUACAAACAUGAUUGAUCAUUAUUUCCAUGCAACUGAAAUUUACAACUAUCUAAUCAGCAUAAUAAUAUAUUACAUGGAUCUAAAAUUUAUUAUCCGAUGAAAACCUUCCAAAGCAAUUAAGUUUCAGAUUAAAAAAAUGGAUGGAGUAGAACUUAUUAUGAAACAAAAAUAGUACAUAUAAGAAGUAAGAAACCUAACUAAAAAGAAGACUGAAUUCCAAUAAAUAGUAUUACUAGUAGAUUAAAUGUGUAACAACCUCCUCAUUUAACUGCUCAGAUACGCUCUUUGUACCAACUGAAACCCCCUUUUCUUUAUCAUCAUCAACCUGCAAUAACUUGUAUUGAUUACGUUGAAGUGUCGAACAAGGAAUGAACCACAGUAUGAAACAAAAUAGAUCGCAACAUAUACGAGACAAAAUGUAGAGCACAGAUAUAUGCUGUACAAAAAGUAUCAGGACUGUGUGCCUGUAUGGUGAUCCUGAAUUGGAGAUCCAGAACUAAUACAAGGAUGAUCAUAACAGCAACAAAGGUAGAAAACUGGGAGCUGGCACAUUCAGUACUACUGACCUUUGAUGGCAGAAUGGUAUAUGAGAUACUAUAAGAUACUGGAGCAUGGUGGUUUUGUUCACCUUUCUUGUUAAAUGUGCUUACAGUACCAUAGGUUAUCGACCCAACCAAAACAGCCCCAGGUGAAGCAUUCUGCAAAGCAAUAAACACACACAAAAACAAAAUAACAUGACUGACAGUAGUGAAAUUUAAUCAAAAUUAUACAUCAAGAGGAUAAAUACCUUUGGGAGUUUUUCUCUCGAUGGAGGACCCACAUAGAAUGAUUCAGGUUCGCUGAAAAUGCAAACGAUUGUUGUAACUAAAUGCUAUAAUAAUAAGAUAAUCACAAACAUUUGAAUAGAAGGUACCCUGGAACUAAAACAGUGGAUUUGAAGGUGCCACUUCCAACUAUAGGACCAUCAGGUUCAGAGUAGAAACUCAAUGGAACGAAAUCCUGCAAUAAGGUCAUAACAUCUACAUCAGCGAUAUUGGUAAUCAGUCUAAAUGUGCAAAUUCUUGAUGAACAUGGACCCCUGACUAGCUUUCACAAUAAAGCACGCUUGGAUGAGGGGAGGUUUUGGAUUUGGGUAAAAUUUGAAUUAAAACCUAGGAAUUUAAAUCCCAAAUUCCCUAACCAAAUAGGCCAUCAUUGGCAACAAACUAACAACUAACAAGAAUAUAAUUGACUGCAAGGUCCACACUCCACAGAGGAAAAGGCACUGAGUUCAGUAAAUCAUCCUUGAGAGUUAAGAUUAUGAGCCAAGCAAUAGUAGCAACUAUUGGGCAGGCAAACCUGACACCACCUUUUUGCUCAAACCAGACUACAGAAACGAAUGUAAGAAAAUCUUAUCUUCCAGCCAAUUCUGUGAUCUAUAUCGCUCAGACAUAGAAUCACCAGAACUCAGGAACAUGUUGCUUCAUACAUUCUUGCAGGCUUGUUCAAGUAGAAAGGUUAGUUGACAAGCUGGCAAAUUUCAGAUGUACAAGCAGAUGCAAACUAGUUAUAGUAGUUUUGUAUUAUUGCCUUGUGUACAAAACCAUAUUCAAAUAAUGGAUGUCAAUAAGGAAAAUCUAGUCCUUGCAUGGGAUAUUCACAGCAUUUUCAGAGUAAAUCUCCAGAACAAUUUAUAUUUUAUGGGUACAAGGCUAUCAUCCCACCCAUGACCAAAAGUACGUAUGUCAAAGAGGUGGUUUAUGACUUACACUCAAAUGAGACUCAUUAGUAACAUGAGUAUUAGAUAGAAUACCUUUUUAUCUAGUUUCCUCUCAAUAAACAGAACCAAUUCCUUGAGUUUCUCCAAGACUUGCACAUUCUCAUGCCUACACCAUUAGAUAUAUUAUAAAAUAAACGAGACCAUGGUAAGUGAAAUAGCUUACAGCAUCUGACAAGAUAACCUUGCAUUUUUAAUCUAUCAAAAUACAAGGCAUCAACAUCAUGCUAUUUGUUUUGCUAUUCUAUCAUCUUUUAAUGCAAUCUAAUAUUCUAUUAGUUUGUUUAUUCUUCCAUUAACUUGCUCAUUUUUGACCUAGAAGUAAUGUAAGAACAUGUGUGUCCAGCUCAUACAUACAACACCUUUAUUUCAAGGAAAGCCCCGCUGGCCGCUGCAACAUGCAGACUAUCCUUCUAGUAUUAAAUAAAAAGGAUUCCCAUGUAUUGCCAUAUGAUGCAAAAUAAUUUAUUGUGCAAUGAAACUACAACCAAAACAAAUGGGUCGAUAUUUAAUAACUGAGAACAAAACAUGUAUGAAAUUGGCAAGAAGCCAUAAGAUAACCCUAUUUUUACUCAUUUUCAUUUAGUUAAAGAGUCAUCUUUUGUAUUCUUAUUACAUUACCAAUACUAGUCAUAGACUCAUAAUAUCCCCCCCCCCCUGCCAACAUUUUCUUUGUAGACAGAUGAAGAAAUAACCACAGGGGGUUGCAUGGAAAAGAAAGCUCAAUCUUAUGUUAUUGGGGGAUUUGCCAUCAGAUAUGGUUUACAGAGAUUUGAUGCUACAAUGGUAUAGAGUGAAACAUGACUAAUUAAGUGGCAAAUACUCAGUGUGUAAAUAUCUUGGCUGUUGGAGCAGAGUUAUUCAAGUUUCAAUGAUCAGUAUCACAUGGGCUACGGUGGCGCUGUGUAUGGGCGGGGCAGGGGUUUGAGGGUUUUCUUGACCAGCAUGAGAAGGUCUUCUUAAUGCAAUGCUGGGGGCUAUCUUACCCCCGCAGGUCGAGGUUUUUUUUUAGUAUCUUCCCUUUUGAGUAAACCAGUAGGUUGGUUAGAGUUCUCGCUGAGUACUGGUUGUGCAAAGAUAUAGUGUCAUAAUUAGUUACUCUAUGUUAACACAUGUGCAAUCAAUACAUUUGCAUAUUGUUGAAACCAGAUGACUUUAAAACAAUGAGAAUGCAUAUGAAGAUGAGAGAUUUACCUUAUGUACAGUUGCAGCGUGUAUUCGCCUUUUGAAAGUUUGACGUAACUAGGGUAAACGUCUCCAGUAGAGUAAAUACGCUGAUUAACACAACAAAUAUAUAUUCUAAGCAAGACAACAUCAGAUAUGUUGGUUGUGCUAAAAAGGGGAGCAAGAGUAACAUCGAUAAAUCAUAGUGAUGUCUAGACAGGAAUUCAAUCAAUUGGUAGUUAAUACUUCCAUAGUUUCUCUGAUUCUCUCACAUUAACAAAGUUGUAUUUUUAAGAAGAGUGAAAACACAGAUUACGAAGUACACAAUGAUCCAUACAGAACAGGGAAAAGAUGAGGAUGAAUUAAUCAACACAAGAGAAACAGUCAAUGGAAAGAAAACAUCUAAAUUCACCACCAUUGGAUGGGACAAAUAAAUUAAAGAAAUGUUUUUCCAUAAGCAAAAGAAGUGCACCUUGUUUGAAUCUGAUAUUCUAUAAAACUGAGACUCAAAUUUGUUGUCAUAUAUUCUGUUGUUAAGCAGUGGCACAUGGGGCUUUAUUUCAGCGCUGUCUUCUAGUUUGAACUUGUAACUGCAGAGAUUCAAUGAGAGAAAGAAAAUGAAAAAAAAAAGCAAGUCUAGAGUCUUGACAAGAAUUUUAUGUCAGAAGCAAAUAUAAACUCACGUUAAGGUCAGGGCAAUAAUUUGCUUGCCAGAGGGCAAUCUAUCACGGUCAGUGGGCAGCGAAGAAAGAUUACACUCCACAGGUCGAUAAGGCAUCCUGAUCUGCAAUCUUAAAAAUCAAUAUAUGGAAGGAAAAAAACUCUUCAGACUUCUACAGAUUCUCAACUGACCUUGUUCAGGGUGGCAACAGGAACAAGCUUCUCUGAUGCUAGAAGUGAUCUAGCAACUAUAAGCAAGGGUGACUCGCCAUCAAGGGUAGUUACUUUCUGAUCAAUGGAUAUUCCAUGGAACACAAUCUGCAAUUUAUAAUGAAAAUAUUCAUCAAGGAAAUAGAUGGUAUAAAUAAAUUACCUCACCAGUCAACUUACAAAUUUAUCUAGGAGACCAAGGAUUCAGGCUGAUCAAAGAGAAAAAAAGAAUGAAAAAGACUAUUGAUGUAGAGAAGCACCUCAAAAUCAACACAGGUAGGCUCAUGGCUAGCAAUUCCGCUAGACCAGAACUGGGCUAUGGACAACUCCAAAGUUAAGCCACCUUCUACAGGAAAACUGAAAUUCUUUGAAGAUGGAGAAGAGAAAGUAACAACAGCCUCCCAUUUAACAGGCCGCUUCAGUGGACAGAUCUGUCAUAUUUGAUGUUAGAGAUUGCAUCUUAGAAAUAGGAAUUAAGAUAAAAUCCUAUGUAGUAUACCUGAACAGUAUCCAAAAAGAACCUUCUAGGAGUAUCAAAAGCUGAUGUUCGCAUAGUAACUUCCGCCCAUGAAGCUCCAAAAGGUACAUUUAUGAACCUCCUUUCAAUAUGACCUGCAGGCAAGAAUAUGUAUAAAAACAGUUGCCUUUACUUUGAACCUAGAAAAUUUGUCACUCCCUCCUCCCUGUGUUGGUACACAUUGGUGUUUAAAAGGUCCUCAAAUAUUCAUAAGUGCAAACCAUAUCAAAAAUAAGUGUACAUCCAAAAACAAAGAUAUAUAAGUUAGCAAAAAGGACUUCUAGCAGGAAGUAGCAAUGAAUACCAGACUGAAAAGAAAGGUUUGAAAUUGACAAUAGUGGUGGCUCUCCCAAUAGAGUAAUAGGCUUUAUUACAGUAAUUGGCACACGGAAAAUAGGUCCACGCCAUGGUGCUUUGUAAUCUAUGCCAUAAACUUCAAAAUAGUGAAGGCCACUGCUGAUAUUAGCAGGAUUGACAACAAUGCUGCAAAGAAAUCAAAGAAAAAACAAAUGAAGUGUUUCACUCGACAGAAUUGAAAUCAUAUAUUGAUCAAAUGAUUUUGAUUUACGAUUAGUAUUGUGCAAAUUGAAAGAGAACGUGUGUUCCAAGUUUAUGGUUUGAUGAGAAACAACAUUUAGCUUCAAUUGAAGAGCUUAUGCUAUCGGUUCAAUAAAAGUUUGUAGCAAUAAGUUAAUGACCAUUGUCCAGUGACAAAAUCAUGUAUCAUCAUCAACCAUGAUCAGAUGAGCGACAUGUGUUAUCUUUUUGUAUGUGUUCAUAUAAACAGAUGCCACAACAAAUAUUAAUGAAUCACUACACUGAAGUCAGAGGAACUGAAUAUAUAAAAAAACCGGUAUGGUUGUGGUUGAAUAAACAAAAGAUACCAACUUGAAACUGCGCCCAUUGUUUGUCACCAGUAUAUACUCAGGAAUUUGAACCACAGAGGUAUCAGUGGAAUGCAGUUGCAGGCACUCCUCAAAAGGAACCAGUUGCUCCAAGUUACUUGCACCCUCAUGAAAUUUUGGGUCAAGUUGCACAGUCCACUGAAAAGUGAAACAGUUAAUACAGUUGAAACCUUUUUGUGCUGCCCUACCCCAACAGAAAAGAAGAGGAAAAAAAAGCAUGUUUGUAACUUUGUAAAAGCACAUCUUCCGUUGGUCAAUGAUGCUUCUUAAACCUCCAGCCUCUUUCUGGGAAGGAAAAAAAAUACAAAGCAGGACACUGUAACCCAAACAGGUUAGCAGGAACUGACCUCACUUGUUUGGCGGCAUGCAUUGCCCCCGCGGAGGUAUAUUCCUCUUAGUUUUGGAACUGCAAGGCAUACAUGCUACCAUGUUAUCCUAAUACAUAAUAUAUCAAAUGAACAUCAAUUAUCAAUACAGAUCAUUUAGUUUGCAUGUCAUAAAAACACAACAGAUGUUGAGAUUGCAUCAUUAUUUGAAACUAGAGGCAAUAGAGAAUAAACACCAUGAAAGCACCACUAUGGGUGACCUUUCAGUGGAGGCUCCUAGUGUUAGUGCAGUUACUAGGUCAAUAACAGAGGAGGCUGCCAUGUAGUGUGCAGCCAGGGCUAAUGUAAUGAGCAUAGGCAGCCUAAGAUAGUUUUGCAGGGUGCCUAAGGUCGUGUGUUUUAUCUGGCUGGUGGCGUGUCAUUUAUUAUUUUUGAACAGUUUGAUGGAAAACAUCAUGCAAUUUAAAACGUUUUAGAGGAAAAUUGGCUUCAAUGAAAAGAAAGAGAACCCUAAGAUUUAAUUAAAAAAACUUGGUCCUGGGGGAAAGACCACCCCAAGGUAUUGAUAGCAGAAGAAACUCACUACUGAACUGAGAUAAUAGUAUGAUACCCUGAAGACCCCGCCCACAUGUGGCAUCUGUUCAGGAGCAGCCAGGAUGCGCCUGCAGGCCAUAACAGCAGGGGGCAAGGGUUUCGAUUUAAACCCAGCCCCGGAAAUUCGCACCCACGGGGAGACAAACCGGGGAGAUUGGGAUGCUACUAAGGCAUUACAACCACUAGGCUGCAGGCACUUUCGCAGAUUUAAUUAAAUUAAAUUUCAAAAGCCCUUGGAAGAAGAUUUAUUAGAUUAAAAUACUAAAACAGAGAGGGUAUUUACUUGACUUUCCCACUUGAUUGAUUGAGAUUCUAUAAGAAACAAGUGGCAACUUCUUAGCCUGCUGUGCAUAUUCAAAAGCCCUGCCAAAGCAAAACUAUGAUGUCAACUGAAAUUCCAACAUCAUGUCACAAAAUUUUCGUCAAAUAGAAUAACAUGUACAAGUUAACUGCGGCUAACCUAUGCUGUCAAAAAAAAAAAACUGCGGCUAACCUAUCAACUUGCAAAAGCCCAUUUCCUGUGGUCAGUUUCUCCUCAGGUGCAUUACUUAUAGAUGCAGCUGUAUUCUCUAUUGCUUUUCUCACAGAAUAAGGGCUUAAUGGAAUGCCUUCAGCCUGAAAUAUAUUCCAAAUUAGAAUAACAUGUAGUGUUUUGUCUUGCUUUACGCCUUUACCAAACAUAAAAAAGGGUGCAUUGCAUUAAUGAACAAAAAAAAAUGGCCACACAAACCUUCAUGCCACUAACAAGAAGAGCUACCCCACCACAGGCAGAAGGAGAUGCCAUGGAAGUGCCAUUCAUUAGCAUGCGAGAUUGAAGCGUCCAAGUUGGUACAGGAGCAACUGCACCACCA
rnacentral:lncRNA from 1 species